AGGAGCGACUGCAGGUGUUCUUCGCGACGGCCUCGGGUGUACUGCUCGAUGGAUUCGCGAGAUAGAAGAUCCCUGCUUCCUCCGCCGAUUCUAACCGCAGCUCUCGUUCUGGCCGUAGAGGCUUCGAUGUGCUUCAGAUCUAAAAGUGGAGAGAACUUGAAAUUGGGAGUCGGACAACGCAGUUUUGUGUUGACUUUCUGCUGCGGGAAGAUGAUGAUGUUCCACGGUUAGGUGGACGCCCGAGCCUAGUUGGCUAUUUUUCAAAAGUAUAUCCGCGGCCCAUAACCCUAAAUGGAGAUGGGAACGUGAGGGAGAGAUAAACAAAUGGACGUUAAAACCUGCGUUGUAUUCAUUCCAGACUAGCUCCACAUGCUAACGAUUUCAUCUGUAUCCAAUACAUUUUCAAAUGAUACGAUAUCACCACCGAGCUAUUCUCUUAAACUUUAGAUAUUUUAAAUAAUUGAUCAAUAUAGAGAGUUAUAAGGUAUUAGAUGACAUCGAAGGAGGAGCUGAUGCUCCCUUGAUGCUUUCUUAUGCGGCGCUUUUGUUCUUCUUCUUCUUGAGAUGAUUGAAUACAAGCAUAGAGAGAACAAUUGGCGCAACAAGCACCCACAAAGGAACAAUGUGAAAUGAAAUAGGGCAUCUCUUUGUUUCCCUUUCUCUAACUUUGCCCUUUCUCCAUAGAAGUGUUGGAAAUUUUUUUAAAAAUAUGAAAAAUAAGAAUUAUUGGAAAAAUAUUUAAAAUGAUGAGAAAAAUAAGAUCAAUUGUUUGAGGCUUGCAAAUACUAAAAGAUAAUUCUGCCUUUUGGAGUACAAAAUUCGAAUAGGCCCUAACAAUUAUCCUCCUAAGAUACAACAAACUUCUUCUUUAUUCCACAUUGAAUAAUAAUAGGAACAUGAACAAAGUUAUGUGCAUAACCCGGCCAAAAAAGGAAAGAUAUGUGAAUUCUAUUAAUUCGGUGAAUUGUGGUUUGAAAUUUAAUCUUAUAUUCAAACAAAAAAGAGAGCCAUUAAGAAACCAUUAUAAAUCAAUUAAGAAUUAAUAAAAUCGUAACCAUUAUAGAUUAAUAUCACACAAAAACCAUUACAAAUUGAUGACAGUUAAAAACCGUUACAAAAACAGUUACUUUUCACAGCUUCUAUCAAAGCCAUUACUUUCGAAUAUUUGAAAAACUGCCGAAUGGUAGAGUAAUGUUAACACUAUUUUUUCCAAAUAUUUAAAAUUAUUUCAUUGCAAUAUUUAAAUUAAUAUAUAUAGGUAAAAAUGUAAAUUAAGAAAUAGUGUUACUUUGUCAAUAUUUUCUUUUGCUGAUGCACAACAACAUAUAAAAGAAACUUGGGGAAAUGUGUAAAAAAGGCCGACCUAUUGUAUUGGUAUAAUUUAGUCAAAAACUUUUUAAUGGUGCAAAUUUAAUCCCAAACUUUAUGAUCCAGUAUCAAUUCAGUCAUUCAAGAUACUUUAAGUCGAAUAUUGCUAAAUGUCACCAAGCCUACGUGGCAUAAUUGAUGCUAACAUGGAUAAUUUUUAAUAAUUUGAUUUUUUUUCUUUUUUUUUUUUUUUCCCUCCUCUUUCUAGUGGCUGACAUGGCCACGGCUGGUGAGGGUUGGUCUCAUUUGAGUGAGGGUGAACCUUGUCGACCUCACUAGGGUGAGGGUGAGUGCUGGUGAGGCUGCCCCUGCAAGAUCAGGUGAGCCCAGGUGUUGCCUGGGCGAGGGUGGCCUCGCUAGAUUUGGCGAGGGCAACCUCACCGAUGCUUGCCAACCAUCGGAAAGAGAAGGGAAAAAACAAGAGAGAGAAAAAAAAUUAAAAAUAAAUUAGUACCAUUAUGAUUUAUGACUAAAUUGAUAUAAAUAUAAUAAGUUUAUAACUUUCUAACACUUUUACCAAGAAACUUGAGAUUCGUCUCGUAGAUCUACCUAAUCAAAUUUCCAUUGCAAUCUCUACACCUUCCAAUUUACUUCACAUUGAAUCAUACUCAUUCCUUUUUACAUAUGAGUGAAAUUAAAAAAAAAAAAUGCAAAAAUUUUCCGCAUCAAUGCCCGUUAUGCCAUGUAGGAUAGCUAGAGUACGUCAUCAAUUAUCGGUUAAAAUUGGGAGGAAUGACCAUAUUGGCAAAUCAUCAAAAGGUUUAUGAAUCAAUUGGUAAAAUUAAAAAGAUUUAAGAUUGAAUUGGCACAAGUACAACAUGUUUAAGACAUUUUCGGUAAUUUUUCCCAUUGAAAUGAGAAAACAUGGUAUUUGUCUUUUGCAAUAUUGCUUGUUAAUUGGAUUUGGUUGUUUAAUGUGGAAACAAAGAAAUAAUCUUCAUCCUCAAUCACUAAAAAGCAAUUAAAAAAAGAAAAGAAGAAGAAGAUUUGAAUAGAAGGCAUGCGCUUUAAAGAUUUGUUCAUGAAGUUUUGGUUCAUUAUUAGAAGAUAUGUCAAAAAAAAAAUAGAAUGAAAUUUAAAGAUAAUUGAGGGAAGAGUUAUUGAAGCCAAAUAGAUUAUUCUUUUAAUGAAUUCUAAAGGACCAUAAAUGGGACUUACGUUUUUUUUUUUUUUUAGGUCGGUCCUACUUUAUUCAUCUUCUAACUCUCACUCUCACUCUCAAACUUUUGUCUUGCCUCCUUGCAGAGCGUGGGAGUCGAAAUCCAUACUUGAAACUAAAUCAUCCCCACCCCAACCCCUUAAGAAGGUGGAGAUUUGAACACCCCACCUUCACCUUCCAUGUUGGAAGAAUAGCCACCAGGACAAACCCUAUUUGUUGAACUUACGUUUUUCGCUUGCCCAUCAUAAUCAAAUUUUGUCGCACUUUUAUUUUAUAUCAAUCUAGGUCGAGGAAAAUUAAUAAGUCUAAUUUGGCCAAAAAAGAUAAAUUAAUGAGUCUACCCACUUGUUGUCACGCCCCGAACCUCGAGCGCAUGCCCAUCCCUAUCUGGUCGAUAAUAAAUUGCGACUUCCCAGGACGAGUCGCUGACCCUUUCCAUUUUAUUGCACAUGCGGAAGCGAAAAGAAAUCCCCUGACAGUAAUCAUCUCGAGAUAGAAAGGCAGGACAAUAGAUUCACAAACAAACAUGCUUUUAUAUAUACACUGAGUCAUGUACACAAGUCUAUGGCCAAAAGACUACAAAAGACUGGCCUUCCAAAAAGAAGCGGUCCUAACUGACCUACGCUUCCGAUCACCUCCUCUCAGCUCCAGGUCCUCCACUCGAUGACCCUGAAAAUGUUGUCCCACAACGGGGUGAGAUAUCAUCUCAGCAAGUCUAAGCUCUAAACCCCAAUUAGGAGGGAAAUAUGCCAAGAAGUGUCCUAAUCACACAAUCACACAAUCAAUGAGACUUACCUCGUCUCAGAUCUACCCUGCAAGUCAGUACAAUUUAUCUCAUAAACAACAUGAGAGUAUGAGCAACAAAUAAGCUCCAAUAAUUGAAACGCCACAUUCAAUUAAUCAUGCGUUCCUAGUUUUGAUCUCGGCAUAUAGCACGGCCUACUCUCAGUUCGGCGGUCUUCUGGCAUUGCCAGGCUUCGUCUCACCCCAUUGAGCACGGCAACUUCUCUUUAUCAGACGGCUUUCCCAAAGGAGCAUAGGGUCCAAAAUCAACUGCGACCGGCUUCCCGUUGUCCAGGGGGUAUCCCACAUAGGGAUAACGUCUAGCUCAACAGCCCGGGACGAUUUCUCUUGACCAUCACACGAUCACUCAAAUAUGGCCCAGGGCACCGUGCAUUGCACUCAAAUGCUUUAAUUAAAAUGGUGAGCCUGGCCUUUUUCUUCAUAUUAGAAAUUCACAUGAAAUUACUCGUGUGUGGGUACACGGUCAACUUGAUCCAGAAAAAUUGAUAUUCAUCCUUUUUGAAAUCCCACUAUUUUCUAUAGUACUAAAAACCAUUUUCAGUGUCAAAACCCGACACCUGGGAUUUUCUAAAUAAAUAUUGGAAAUUCACAAUUUUUGGAAUUAAAUACCGAAAAUCAAAUUAGCACUCAAUUUGCAUAAUUUAACACUCGAUUGCAAAAAUUAACCACACCAUUGCAAUCAGCACGAAAUUCCGGUCACCGGCUAUCCCGGCCUAAUUUCCGGAAAAAUAAUUAAUAAUUAAAUAAUUACUGAAAUUAAUUAAAUAAAUCAAUUUAAAUUCUAAAAAUACUAACCUAGGGCAAAAUCAUUAAAUUAAUAACCAAUACGAACUCGGAGAAAUUCCCGAACCCUACUAGAUAAUUAGUACAAUUUAUUUAGGCCUUAGCUAAACCAUGCUAAACCACCUAACAUGCUCAAUUAAAUAAUUCAAUUUCUAAUUUAAUCUAACUAACCACCUAAUUCCUAAUAAAAUAAAUCUAACACCCCUUAAACGUUAUUAGCCUACUAAGCAGAGUUUAGAGUAUAAACUCACCGGUUAAUUGCGGAAAUCGGUUCACCGCGACAACGACGCGACGGCGGCCGAAACCUUAAUUUUUGUCAGUGUCGACGAACUUGGGCCGGGCCUAAACUUAGCCCAACACAACUCAGCAAGGCUGGGUUAAGGUCUUGGGCUUCUGCAGGCUACUGGUCACGGGCUUGGGCCUUCUUCUCGAGCCCAAAAUGGCUGAACUUCAAAUGGGCUAAAACCAACUGAACUUGGGCCUGAGCUUGGGCUUCAAAAUUUGCUGGAGAAGGGCUGAAAAUCACUGGGCUGAAGACACUUGCUGGACUUGACUGCACUUGGGCCAAAGAUUGCUGGAAUGGACCGACGUUGCUGCUGCUGAAAGCUGGGCCUCGCUGACUCACGGGCUGAAGAAGAACGAGCGAGCUAGCGGAGAUGGAACUCGCAGAUACUGGGCCAUCGUGGGAGCUGCUGCAAGGACUUUCGGUGCUGAGGGUUUGACCAACAAAACGAGCGGUAGAGAGAAGAUGCGGCAGCAGCUUCGCUUGGUGGACCUUUGGACGGAGAGAGAUGGUUCGGUGGAAUCCCGGGGUUUCUUUGGUCAACAGUAGGGCUUUCGUGGAGGGGUGUGUUGACCGGCGGGGAACAAACCGAAGUGGAGAUUGUUGGAUAUAUUAUUAAUAUAGUCCAAAACAAUAUGUUCACAUACAAGCCCAAUAGGUAAAAGCAUGGUUAUUUGGGUCCAUAUGGGCCGAAGCCCAAUAACGUGCAUAUAAAAACUCUAGGGUUUCCCUACGCUGGAGGUAACACUGUUGAGCGUUCCAAACUUGACGUCUCUUGGUGUAAUACUUCAAGCAACUACUUCUUCUCUCUCAAACCUAUUACCUCUAACAAUCUUGAAGUAUUAGGUUCGUGUGUCGGAUUUGAGCGAGUAAAGUGUGUUCUUGAAGAUUUCGUCAAGACGAACUCGCGGCUGUAAUUUACUUUCGAUUUCGACGGUGAUAUUGGCCGGGAUCUGAGUUUGAAGAUUUGGGUGACCGAAAUCUUUGAUUCAAAAACCCAAAAAUUAUAGCCAAUUUAAGAGGGUGAAACCACUUGGGCUUUGAUCUACUCGUCGCUACGAACGUUUUUAGUGGUCACUCGCGUCAAUCGGAGGUCGGACGGAGAAGUUAUGGCACCCGGAAGUUUCCAUCUGAAUUUCUAGCGAAUUUUGGGGACGAAAUUUGUAGCGAAUUUCGGGGGGCGAAAUUUUUCAGCGAGUUUCAGUAACAAGGGCAGUCCAUCUUAAGGUUUUUGGGUGCUCCAGAUCCGUUUUUGGGGUUUGUUUUGGCAAAUUCCAUCUCUACAGAGCGGUUUGAUCAAGGUUAGGGGAGUUAUUCAACUUUGUUGCUCUGAGGACUUCAAGGUGCACUCUUUCUAACACUUUGCUUUGAUUAAAAUGGCAAAGCGUAGUUCCUAUGAUAUUAUAAAGUUGCAAUCUUUUGAUGUUACUGAAUUUCAUGGCUGGAAAUUACAUGUUCAAUUUGGCAUGAAAGAACGUGACAUAUUCUAUACUGUAUUGAGCGAUUUUACAUCUACCACUGAAGAUGUGAAUGAAUAUCAAUGGAACAAAGAUGAGGAUUUUUGUAAAGAUUACUUGCUGAACUCUCUGAAUCCUAAAAGGAUAGUCCAGUCUAGUUGAAUUGUAUCAUCAAGUUUGGAAUGACACAAUUUUUCCAGAUAGAACAUUUGAAUUAGGUUAAAGUCAUCUUCAUCAAAUUUGGAAUGAGACAACUCACCCUCUUCAAUUAGUCAGCAACUGUGAACAUCAAUGAAACAUAUAAACUGUGCUUAUCAUUGUAGCCAAUAAAGAAAGAUUUGAUAAUUCAAAACACAGGUAAGUAAAUGGUAGUUAAGACUUGCCUAUAUAGUCUUUAACCCCAGUUCCCCCACUGUUUUGAAUAAUCGAUCUUUAGGCAUACCUUUGGUGAGAGUAUCGGCUAUGUUAUCCUUCGAUCUCACAUCGAUCAAGGUGAUAACCCCUUGUUCUCUUAGAUAAUUCAACAACGCAUGUCUCAGUCUCACAUGUCUUCUCUUUGAAUUAAAGAGAGUAUUCUUGACGACUUGGACAGCUGCUCGAUUAUCACAAAAUAGGCUUAAAGAAUUAAUCUUUAGCCGAGUCAAAGGAAUAUCCAUAAUCAGAUUCUUUAUCCACUCUGCCUCUUCACCGGCUGAGGCUAAAGCAAAAAGUUCCGAUUCCAUAGACGACAAUGCAAUACAAGUCUGUCGUUUGGAUUUCCAAGUAAUAGCAGCUCCACCCAAAGUGAAUACAUACCCACUAGUGGACUUACUAUUUCCAAUAUCUGAGCACCAUGAGGCAUCAGAAUAUCCAUCCACAACUGGAGGAUAACCAGAAUAAUAAAGCGCAUAAUCUUUAGUACCUUUAAGGUAUCUCAUUAGCCUAUUAAGGGCAUCCCAAUGCUCUUUACUAGGAUUACUAGUAAAACGACUCAGCAUACCAACUGUAAAGGCUAUGUCGGGUCUAGUGCAACUCAUAGCAUACAUGAGACUACCAAUCAGUUUCGAGUACUUUAACUGAUCCACGCUGGUCCCUUCAUUAAGACUCAGUCUAUUAUUAUAAUCACAUGGUGUCUCACUCGGUUUACACUUAUCGUAUCCCCAAGUAGAAAGUAGCUGCUCAAUAUAAUGAGUCUGGCUAAGGGAGAUGACUUGCCGUUCAAAGCUUACUUUCAUACCAAGAAUGGUAUUAGCAAUACCAAGAUCUUUCAUGUCAAAUUCUUUAGCUAAAGUAGCUUUCACGUCGCUCACUACAGAAUGAUCGGAACCAAGAAUUAACAUGUCAUCAACAUACAAGCAAAUGAUGACUAUCUUAUUUGAUAUAGAACGAUGGUAAAGGCAUUUAUCUGAAUAACUAGACUGAAAGCCAUAACUCUUUACCACUUCAUCAAAUUUAAGAUGCCACAUCUUAGGUGCUUGUUUAAGACCAUAUAGAGAUUUAUUUAAUUUACAAACUUUGUCCUCAAGACCUUUCAUAACAUAUCCUUCCGGUUGUUCCAUGUAAAUUUCCUCAUUUAAAUCCCCAUUUAAGAAAGCUGUUUUUACAUCCAUUUGAUGCACUACAAAGUGUUCAAUAGAUGCCAAAGCAAGAAGAAUUCUUAUAGUUGAUAGAUGACACACAGGUGAAUAGACAUCAAAAUAGUCUAUUCCACUCUGUUGUUUAUAGCCUUUAGCUACUAAGCGUGCUUUGUAUCUGGCUAUUGAUCCAUCACUAUUCAGUUUCUUCUUCAACACCCAUUUACAGCCUAUAGCUUUAGCCCCUUUUGGCAAAUUUACUAGCUGCCAAGUGUAAUUCUGCAGCAGAGAGCUCAUUUCAUCAUCUAUGGCUUCUGCCCACAGUAGAGAUUCCCUAGAUCUCAUUGCUUCUUGAUAGGAGAAUGGAUCAUCCUCAAGAUGGUAAGCAACAAAGUCUUCACCAAAACUUUUGGGAAUUCUCUCUCUUGUAGAUACUCUAACUGGAAUUGGUUCAAUAGCCAACUGUGUGGAAUUAGUGUCAGAAGGGCCUGCUUCAGAUUCUACAGGAAAUUCUGAAAUCAUAUCUGUAGAUCCAGAAACAUUCAAGCCUUGAUCUCUGAUAAACUUGUUUUCAAAGAACACUGCAUCUCUAGAUUCUAUCACUGUGUUAGUAGAUAGAUCUAAAAACCUAUUUGCAGCGCUAUCUUCUGCACUACCUAGAUAUACACAAGUAAUAGUUCUAGAUCCCACCUUAGGUUUUUUAGGAUCUGGUAUACUUACAUAAGCAAUACAGCCCCAAGUCUUAAGAGUAUCAUAUCUACAAGGGCGCUUAUGCCAUAUCUCAUAAGGUGUCAUGGACAACUUAGAGUGCGGCAACCUGUUCAAGAUGUGAUUAGCAGUUAGAACUGCUUCUCCCCAGUAGGAGGAAGGCAUGCCAGCUGUAAGUAACAUAGAGUUUAACAUUUCAGUUAACGUUCUAUUCUUACGCUCUGCAACACCAUUUGAUUGGGGUGAAUAAGGAGCAGUGGUUUCAAGUAUUAUACCUUCUGAAGCACAAAAUUCCUUGAACCUUGACAUAGUAUAUUCUCCUCCUCUAUCACUCCUAAACCUCUUAAUUUUCAAGUUGAGUUGAUUUUCUACUCUAGACUUGAAAAUCUUAAAUUUUUCAAAAGCCUCAUCUUUCGAUUUCAACAAAUAGACAUGACAAUAUCUAGAAAAAUCAUCUAUGAAUGUUAUUAGAUACUUCCGACCACCUUUAGUAAUGUAAUUUCUAAAAUCACAAAUGUCAGAAUGUAUUAGCUCAAGAAGUUGUGUGCUUUUAGAAAUCAAUUUAAAGGGUUUUCUAGUAAUUUUAGCCUGUGCACACACUUCACACUUAUCAAAUCGAAUAGAAGUAUCUAAUGGAAUGUUAUGAGUUUUAGCUAAAUGUUGCAUUUUCCUGUAAUUCACAUGUCCAAGUCUAUUGUGUAGCAACUUUGGAUCGAUCAAAGUAGAAUUCACAUGGUUUAUGCUAUCAGCAUUUAAACUCAACCUAUACAUACCAUUAACCAUGAAUGCACAACCAAAAUAAUAUGAGUUAACAGAUAAAGUUACUCUACCAUUCAUAGUUGAAAAAGACAUACCAGCUUUAUCAAGUAAACUCAUAGAUAUUAAAUUCUUCUUAAGUAAAGGUACUACUCUAACAUGUUUCAGAGUUAGUAAUUUACCUGAAGAAAGCACCAAAUUUGCAGUUCCAGCAUGAGUCACCUUUGCCUCACCACCAUUGCAAUUUUCCACAGUGUCUUUCACUGGGUAGCAGAGUGUAAGUUGCCAAGGAAGCCAAAUAACGACACACCACAUAAUGAGGCCAAUAUGCUUAUUAGAGGAUCUGAGCCUCGAGCCUUUAUUGGAAUGAUGAAGAAUGGAAAGGCCAGCAUCUCUUCUGAGUGGUGGUUGGACAGUGGCGCUACUUGUCAUGCUACAAAUGACAAGAAUUUACUCACUGAGGUCACAGAAGUGCAAGACACUGUGGAAAAUUGCAAUGGUGGUGAGGCAAAGGUGACUCAUGCUGGAACUGCAAAUUUGGUGCUUUCUUCAGGUAAAUUCAUCUUGUUUUUGCAUGUAAGUGCUGUUGUGAAUCAUAAUUCAGGUCCAAUUCAAAUGGGUUACUAAGUCGAAGAGGAAUAAGUUUGCAAAGUACUUCCACCGAAUAUGGGUUCUAGAUUUCUAUAUUUCCUCACAGUUAUUGGCUAUGCCAUUAUCUCAUAGAGGGUGAUGAUCUAUGACUUAUUUUAUCCCAUAAUUGGUUUGAAAUUAAUUUCCUUCAAUAAACAAUGUAUCAUGGUAGCAUGCAAAAUAUUUGAUAUACUGAAUUAAGGAGGAAGAUAUUAUACUGGAUUUAUUAAGCUGAAUUUUUUAGAAAUUUUUUCUAUUUAGUCUUGAAGUAGUUGAUAUAUGUUUCUAGCAGAAAGUAAUUAUAAGACAAGUAGUGACAACUAGUCAUUCCUGAUCAGCUGAAGGUGAAAGAAAUAAUAGUUCCCUUCUCCCUUCCUUUCCUCAUGCGCUCUUCUGAUGUUUUUACCCUUCGUUUCAGCUGCCAGCAACUCUUAAAAUAGGUGUCACGGUUGUUAUAUCUCCCUUGCUAUCUCUCAUUCCAGAUCAAAUAAUUACUCUAACGCUCAAGUAUGGAAUACCAUCUACUUUCUUGAACUCUCAACAAACUGCUGCCCAAGCGGCAGCUAUUCUCCAAGAACUAAGGCAAGGUUUAGCUCUAUUGGACUUCUAGAUUUUUUAUGCUUAGUGUUGUGACUGUCAAAUUAUUAAUCUCCACUUCUGCUUUGCCUACCUUUUCAGAAAAGAUAAACCAUCAUGUAAGUUAUUGUAUGUAACUCCUGAAAGGAAUGUGGAAACCCAUCAUUUCUAGAGAUAUUGAAAUGCUUGCAUAAAAAGGUAUUGUUUCUAAUGUACCUCGAAAGCAAGUUAACUUUCCGAACUUUUCUUCAUUUUUUGUGUUUCUAGCCUAAUUAAAUUGUCAGUGUUACACUAGACCUUUUGAAGUCCAGAACCCUGUGAAGUUCUAAUAGAACAUAAUGCAUCGUUCCUUGUUUGAGAGAUCUAGGUUCCGUCGUUUGGGAACACUUAGUGGCACAUCGUUGAUUGUAUUGAGGAAAGAGCACACGCUUAAUUAAGCUCCAAUGGAAAUUACUUCCCAGAGUAAUUAGAACCGUCUUGUGUUUUAGGGCAUUGUUUCUCGAGAAAUCUGUUACUUUUGAGGUUGCCAUCAUAAGUUCUGUAGGUCAUAUGAUUUGUAAUAUUCCUCAAAAUAUAAUAAUCUGCCAAAGUUUUGGGUAAAUUUCUUUUUCUAUGAUUAGUAAAUUACUGGAUAAAUCAUAACUUUCCUUUGGUGACGUAAUUGUCCUUGUUGGUAGUAAUUUUACCUCUAAAACAUCCUUUCAUAGGUUUGCUUUUGAGUUUGGGGGGUGUACUUUUUCUUUAAAGGUCAUAAAUUAUCUGAAACCUAUGUUUGGUAAAAUUCCACAAAAAUAAUAUUUUUCAGUUAAUAGUAAAUUUGUUUUGUGUAUUUUUACUAACGUAUGUAAAUUAAUUGUAACUCUCCUCUUGUUUGCACUCGACAGUUUUGAGACCUAUGUUUUAGUUAUUUUCCUUACUCAUCGUAACUUUUCUUAAUCAAAUGAUAAUUUGAUCAAGUUUGUGUUCACAAUUUUCCUUUAAUGUUCGGAAGUGAUGAAAGAAAAUCGAUUUUGCAAAAUAGAUUUGACGGAUCAUGUUUUUUCCCUUUUUAUCCAACAAUCCAUGCUGAAUGCAGGAUCAAUCUCGUAAAAGAGAACUUUCACUUAUGAAAUUUCCAUUUCACUUAUGAAAUUUCCAUCACAAUCAAGACGUUUUGGCCAUAAUAAAGUAGUUCUUUAGUUUUUGCCAAACGAUAAAGUAGUGUUGGAAAUGUUAUUUUUCCAAAAUUUUGUAAAUCGUUCCAUUGAAAUAUAUUAAAGGUAAAAAUGUAACUAACCAACUAUAUUACUUUGUCAAUAUCUUCUUUUGCUGAUGCACGGCAACAGAUAAAUGAAAUUUGAAUGUUCUCUUUGCAUCCGAACGUGGGACCCUCCUCAAUCAGGGGGUCUUUGGACUUUGGUAUGGCGAUGGCGGAUCGACUUUGUCGUGACUUAAUUGACUCUGUCGUCCUACCGUUCGUUGGAUCGGUCGCGAACGAGAAGUGCGUUCUUUCCAUUGGAAAAGGCUAGAGAGCCAACUACCCAAAUAAGCUUCAUUCAAUAAACUAGACUCGAACGAAUAAGACUUUGGAUCCUGUAAUUUUCAUGUUUGGAGUGAAAUCGAAAUGCCAAAUUGGGUUCCACAACGAAUGAGGCUUUUCUUGAAAAGCGUGCAGGGAAUGACUCGGCAAUAGCUUAUAGGGAGAUGCCAAUUCCAGAUCUUGAAACCACUAUACCCUCCCAAGCCCAAUUCAAUCACUUUGCCACCACUACUGUUGGCCGCAAGUUGUCACCCCCAUUGGUCCCUAGUCGCCCAUCGCUUAUUUUAGUUGCCACUACCGUUGAGAAGUAUUCCUUUUCAAAAGAUUCAAAUCUCUUACAAUUCAGGCAAAUUUUUUUUUUUUGAACGAAAUUCAGGCAAUUGAAAAGGAGAAAGAGAUUCCUCAAUAUGAGAAUCCAUUUGAGGAAUUACUUGCCAUGGAACUGACAAAGCCUUAGCGUAAGCUUUUAGUUUGAAUAUGAAAACGCCAUCCGAUAAAUAUAUGUUACAAUCCCAAGAUAUAUGAGCGACCUCUCAUUUCAGCAUAUACAAUUUAAUUUUUUUAUUAAUGUGAAACACAUUGCAAUUUUAGAAUAAUAAAAUAAUUCACACUAAACUUUUUUAAGGGGAAAAAAGAAAGAGAGACUAAAGUGUAACCACACCGUUGGUCACUGAAAGAAAUCUAAUAACAUUCAACGCAUAUUCUUGUGAUUGAAAUAAGGAAAAUGGCGUCCAUCCUUCUCCUCCCUCUUGAUCAUAUGAUUUUCAUAGAGAGGCUAUCUAAAUACACGUCAGAAAAUUGUGGCAACUUGAUAAUUAUUUUAGCUUAAUUCCGAGGGAAAAUUAUUGAUUCAUUUCUCAAUUUUCACUCAAGAUUGCUCAUGUGGUGAUCUAAUAAGUAUCGACCAUUUGACGUGGCAUGGUUGGCGACCUGAUGUAGACCACUUUAAUUGAAACGUUUCGUGAAACCCACUUUAAUUUCAGCAGGCACAAUUCUCCAAUUUGUCGAAAGCCUCACUCUCCGUUGGCGACCAAGUUUAGUGUUGUCUCCUUUCACAUCCGUCGGCAAGCCCCUCAUAGGAAUUCCCACGUCUGGAAAAUACAUAUAUCCACCUUAACUUGCUCUUUUUCAUAUUCUAAGGUCUGAAUCUUCACCUUGUUCAUCCUCGAAUCGCGAUAUUUUUAACGCUCUUCUGUCUCCCUGUCUCUCCCAGCAUUCUUUGGUAUGUUCUGAUUCUCGAUGUGAUUCUGAUGGUGAAGUCAAUGGGGAUGCUUGUACCAUCUGUCGCCAUCGCGCUUGAUGGUCUGCUUUUCUUAUCUUUGGGUUUUUACCAUAUGGAUCACGUGCAAGACAAAGGAACUCAGCAGCGACAGGAGAAGAAAGAAACGGGUCGCUCUUCCAAAUCUGUUGCGUAAAUCAUCAUCAUCGCCCAGCCUCAGCCCACAAAAAGCAGUAGGCUCACUGGAGCUUUGUGCCCAUUGCCAAGCCCCCCCAUCCCAUCCCAUUCAAUUCAAUCACGCCCCCUAUCCCAAGAUCAACUUUGGAAAGGAGACGUUAGAUCCCUAUCACCACACCACCCCUGGCCAUCACAAACAACAAAUUUGUGUCCAUUGGAGCUGCGACUAAGUGAGCGAUCCCCUAGCCGCCCCCAGUAUGAUAACUUAACAUGUAUUUUCGCCAAUAUCAGCGACGCAACCGGGCCAACCCCAUUGGGCAAUUAGGCUUUCCAGGCCCAUGCUUGUCUCAAUAUGUCCUAAUUUUCAUAUAUUAUGAUGAUCCGUCUUAUCAUGACGAGUCUUAAGAAGACCCGCAUUCCGCAAAAAAGCAAAAUGAGAAUUUUCAUCAUAGACCCGCCAAGAACAUAACCAUCCAAACUUUAUAAGUUUGACAUGCAAAGUCUUCUCUUUGCAGAGGAAAAAAGAAAAGAAAAGAGAAAGACAUGAGAAAGUAUUUUAUGCGAGAGUUAACUAUUACCGUCGACGUGAGGGGGGUGUUCGUAUAAUUUAAGAUUAGGCGUUAGGUCCAUGGACUUAAAAAUUCAACAUAUGAAGGAAAUAAAGAGUGCACAUAAAAAGAGAGAAGAAAAAAAAAAGGACAACCCUAAAAUAACAAGAAAAAAAAUACGUGACAAAGAAAGGAAAGGAGAUCUUCUUGGAUUCCAUGUUUCAUGUGUCACAAAUUGGAGUUUAUAUAAUUUGAAUUUAAAAAAAAUAGUAAUGCUGCUUAGCAAAAAGUAAAGAAAUUACCUAAUCAAUAAAUUUAUUGUACAUAUGCCAAUUCAAUUCCAAAUUCUUUCAAUUUUAUCAAUUUAGUUUUAAAAAUUUACGCGAAAUUUCAGUAGUCAUUUUGGUCAACUUUCGCUAGAAAUCAUUGAUGUAGCAGUCUAAGUAUCGUCAGCCGUCUUAUGUGGUACACUACAAUGUUAGCAAUUUUAAGCAAAAUUAGCCAAAAUGAUUAUAUUAUGAUUUUGAGCAAAGAUUUUAAAUUAAUUUGAUAAAAUCAAAAAGUUUAUAACUUAAUUGAGGGAAAUUUUCAAAAAAUGACCUGAAGUGCCAUGAUUUUCUCAAAUAAGGACUCAAAGUGAACUUUGUUUCAAAUAAGGACUUGAAGUGGCAUUGAUUGUUUCAAAUAAGGACCUGAAGUGGUUUUGGUUGUUUUAAAUAAGGACUUGACUACAUCGGUUGCCGAUUGAUUAAAUUUUCCAACUGGUUAAUGGUAUUUUAAUUAUUUACCAUUUCCCUUAUUUUCUUCCUUUUUUCUCUUUUAUUUCCCUUUUUUUUUUUUUUUGUUCUUCUUUUUCCGCUUCACCGGUGGUUGGCCAGUCACUGGCAAUGCCCAUAGAGGGCUGGGCGAGGGUUGCCCUCAUCGACAAGGGCCACCCACGCCAGCCACAGGUGAGGUGACGCUCUCCUAGGGCCAUCUGCGAGGUUGGCCUUCGUCUACCCCAGACGAGGGCUCGACCACCCUUGCCAGCCAUAGGCGAGGCCCAAGCGAGGGCUCGACCACCCUCGCCAGCAGGCAACGACCCUCGCUGGCCCUUACCAACGGCCGGUCUGGCAAGGGUCGCCUCGCCCAAGUGAGUCUAUCCCUCACCUAUGGUCGGUGUGGGCGGCCCUCAUCGGCAAGGGUGACCCUCGCCCAACCCUCUGUGGGCAUCGUCAGUGGCUGGCUGACCACCAGUGAAGAGGAAGAAGAAGAACUAGCAAAAAAAAAAAGAAAAAGAAAUGGCAAAUGACAAAAAUAUCUUUGAUCGUCGGAAAGUCAGGUUCAUAUUUGAAAUAGACAUAGUCACUUCAGGUUCUCAUUUGAAAUAACAUUCACUUCAGGCCCUUAUUUGAGAAAGUAAUGUCACUUUAUAUUCUUAUUUGAAACAAGGUCCACUUCAAGUCCUUAUUUGAGAAAAUAAGGGCACUUUAGGUCCCUUUUUGGAAUUUUCCCCUAAAUUGAUACAUUUAUAAAUAAUUUUAGAUUUGAUUUGACAAUCUCCCCGAUAAUUAUAACCGGCAACCACUUUAUUAAAUAAAAUUUGGCUUGUUGACAUCCACGGUCUACUUGCAACUCUCACGUAAAAUACUUACUCUUCUUCUUAUGCUUACAUAGACCCAACGAGCUUCGAUCCAAGGUUGAUCCUGGACUAACCCUGGACCAGCCUAACCCUACUGGUCCUGGUUCGGUUCCUAAAAAGAUUGGGUCGGUCCUUGGUCCUAAAAUUUCUGGACCAGCACUAUGCGGGUUGGUUUUCGGUCCUGAGAGUUUCGAGUUGGUCAAAUCCAAACCAACCCUGAUUAUAUAUAAUAUUAUUUAUAAUUUUUUAUAUAGAGAAAACCUUAAAAUUAAACGGCUUUAACAACAUUAAACGGCUCUUUAGUAAGAAGUUCAAGUAAUUUUACAUUGUUCUUUAAUAACUUAGGUUUUUAAUGUCUUUUACGACGUCAAUUGUCAUAAUUUACGAAGGAUGAAAAUGUUUUUAUGAGGAGUCCUCACGGCAUCCAAAAAGGCACCUUAUGGCAUCUUUUUUUAGUAUUCUUUCUCUUCUAUCUUAUUUGUUUUCUUAGUCUUCAAUUUGCUAAAAUCGAAAAAAAACAACUUCUCCGCUCACCACUUGACACUCGCCUUGCUCGCUUUGGGUCACUUGUGCCGCUCGAUGCUCGCUUGGCUUGUUGCUCCUUGCUCGAUAUUCGAUGCUCAUUCUAUUCAACGCUCACCUCGCUUGAUCCUCACCGCUUGUCUUUCUUAGCUGACCUUGCUCAUCAUCGAAUCCAUUGGGUUGGUACGGUCCCUUUCAAAGAGUACAAAAAAUGAAAUAAAAAAUUAUUGGUUAGUCCUGAGUUGACAUUGAAACUGGACCAAACUUAUUGGAUCAGUCUAAUCCUCAAUCGUUUUUUUAAGGAGUACAAAAAAUGAAAUAAAAUAUUAUCAGUUGAUCCGGGUUGACCCUGAAACUGAAUUGAACCCAUUGGGUCGGUCCGGUCCUCAAUCUCAAGCUCAAUAGGGUCGAUCCUCAGCUCCAAAAAUUGAGAACCGGCAUUGUGCAGAUUGGUCCUAAGGUUAAGGGUGGACUAGCCCAACUUGGAUCAUGCUCACCCCUACCCAAGGGUGUCAAAUGAAACUAGAAAAACUUAUGGAGGGGGGGUGGGGAGCAAAAAUAGAGCUUCCAACAAAACUCAGGUGCAAAACGGAAUUUUUUAAAGAAAUAAAAAAAAUAAUGUGGCUACGGUAAAAAAGCAGAGCAAAAGAACAUCAGUCCCGCCAUCACUAGCAUGGUUUUUCUUCGAAGAGAGCGCUUCAAGCGAGCGCUCUCUCUCUCUCUCGAGACUAUGGAUCGAUUCGAUUACUACCCUCAUCGAUCGAUCGAUUCGAAUCCCGUUGAACAGGUUGAGAUUCCAUGGAGCAUCACGGGUUGGAGGAGGCAGAGAAGUCUCGGGUUGCUGAGCUUGGCUCUCGAUUUCGGCUUCGACAAGCAGUCCUCCAGCAAGUGCCUGGGACUGUCUCGUUUCGCUCUGUAGUAACUUUAAUCGUUACUUUGUCACUCAUCUUUUCUUUUUUCUUUAUGCUGAUAAGCAUUUGCAGAGGUUAAAUUGUGUAGGUAUUUCAUCGUCCACCACGACGAUGGUGAUGAUGGCUAGGGAAUAGUCUGCUCUAAGCUUGAAUAGAUCGGAGCGGGUUUGGUGAAGUAGUCUUAUCUCUGAUGAUAACUGGGCACGCGGCAAAGUUUUUCUUGCUUAUUGGCCAAAAUGCGCUGUAUCUGGUCAUUAGAUAAUGACAGCAAAUAAUCAAUGUCUUGGUAUUAUGCACAGUUGCAAAUGAAUUUAUAUAGAAAUGAAGCUCUUCUGUUAAUGCAUUUUUCAUUUUGACUUUUAAUUCCAAAUUGCUGAUGAGUGUAUUGAUUGAACGUACCAAUGGCAAUACUGGCAUUGCCUUUGGCAUUCAUGGCGGCAACAAAGGGUUACGGGCUAAUCAUUACAAUGCCAGCAUCUAUGAGUUUGGAAAGAAGGAUCAUCCUCCGUGCUUUUGGAGCUGAGGUGGUCCUGACCAAUCCUGCCAAGGGCGUGAAGGGGGCUAUUCAGAAGGCAGUGGAGAUAAUGGCAAGGAAACCUAACUCUUACAUUCUUCAGCAGUUCGAGAAUCCUGCUAACCCAAAGGUACAUGUGUGGUCAACUGUCAUGUCUUGCUGGUUGUGUAUGCAGGUGAUAACACGAACUUCAGCUUGGUUGUCAUUGUUCUGUUUAAAUACAUUAUAAAACAACCGGACCAGAGAUAUGGAAAGGCUUGGGCGCCAAAGUAGACGCCUUUGUUUCUGGGAUAGGAACUGGUGGUACUAAAACUGGUGCUGAAAAGUUUCUGAAAGAGCUAAACCCUCAUAUAAAGGCAGAUUGUUUUUAUGAUACUGUUUAUCACGUGUUGAACGACAAAAUAUUGUCAAUUUUGGGUGAUUAUCAACUAUGGAUGCCUUGAAUAAAAAACCUUGUGCCUGAACAUUCUUUUUGUGUUGAACCUGUUGAAAGCCCCUUAUUAUCUGGAGGCAAGCUUGGUUAGUUCCCUUGAACACGUUCAUACCUUUCGCGAUUAUUAAAUCUCCAUGCACAAUCUAGUUUAUCAUCCAAUUUUGUUUCAUUAAGAUUGGUUGAUGACCUGUGAGAGAUUGAUAUGAUGUGGUCUCAUUUUUAGUCCUUAUAGUUCAAGGCUCAUGGUUUCGCAUCAUUGCAUGGGAAGAGAAACAAACGGUCUCCGUAGAAAGCUAAAACAUGAGAUGCUAAAUUGUUGAUAUAAAUAGGCUGAUAAAAAAAGAAAUAGAAAAGAAAAGAAAUAGAAAAUUAAAAGAAAAUUAAAAAUAAUUCAAAUUAAAAAAAAUAAAAUAAAAAAUAAAAAAUCAUUCUAACAAAAAAAGAAAAGAAGAAAAAGAAAGGGGAGAAGGAAGUGAGGAUUUAUAGAUGUGUGAGAUAAGAGAGAUUAAGUUAGGAAAAUAUUUUUCACUUUUCAAAAGUAGAAAAUAUUUUCCUUUAAUUUAGAAGACUUUUUUUUCCUUUCAUGGAAAACAUUUUCCCGGAAAUUAUUUUCCGCAAAACGAAUGGAGCCUUAAAUAUUGAUAAUUUUCCUUACUCAUUAUAACUUUUUUCAAUCAAAUGAAAGUUUGAUCACCUUGUGUUCGCAACUCUCCUUUAACGUUUGCAAAUCCAAAUUCUAUGACAAAAAGUAGAUUCCGCAAAACAAAUUUGACGAAUUGGUUUUUUUCCCUUUCUUAUCCAGUGGUCCACGUUGAAUGCGGGACCAGUCCCAUAAAAGGAGAGCUUCGACUUAUGGAAUUUCCAUUGUGAUCAUGAUGUUUAUGGCACAACAAAAUAAUGUUUUCUUUUUUGCCAAACAGUAACGUGGUGUUAGUACCAACCAAAAAAAAAAAAAACAAUGUUGAAAACCUAUCUUUCCAAAUUAUUUGAAGUUUGCUCUAUAUAUAUAUAAAGCUAAAAAUUUAAAUUAAGAUAAGUAUUACUUUAUCAAUUUUUCCUUUUGCUGAUAAACAGCAACAGAUAAAAAGAAAUUUGAGAUACUUUUCAUAUUCUUAUGUAUACAAAGAAGCCUUUACCCAUAUUCCGAUCUGCCAAGUUCAAGAAUGAUUCAAGCCCGGAAAAGAAAAAUGUAAAAUAAAAAGGCCCCCAUCCCCCAAAAACCAACCAGACCCAACCGUGGAGGCAAAAAUAGAACUUCAACAAACUUCGGGUGCGAAAACGGAAUUUUCAAAAGAAUGGAAAAAAUAUGGCUCNNNNNNNNNNNNNNNNNNNNNNNNNNNNNNNNNNNNNNNNNNNNNNNNNNNNNNNNNNNNNNNNNNNNNNNNNNNNNNNNNNNNNNNNNNNNNNNNNNNNAUAAAAUAGGAAAGGAAAAACAUCAUCAAUCCCGCCAUAGUUGGCAGGGUUUUUCGAACAGAGCACUUCGAGCGCGCGCUCUCUCUCUCUCUCUCAAGAGACUACGGAUCGAUUCAAUUCCACUUCGUGCAUCAUCGAUCGAUCGCUCGAAUCGCGUCGAGCAGGUUGAGAUUCCAUGGAGGUAUCGGGGCUUGGAGGUAGAGAAAGCUCGGUUGCAGAACUUGGCUCUCGAGUUCGGCUUCAACGAGCAGUCCGCCAGCAAGUGCUUGGAUCGUAACGUUUCCCUCUACGGUAACUCGGAUCGUUACUUCGUCGCCCAUUUUUCAUGCUGAUUACCGUUGGCAGAGGUUAUGUAGGUAUUUCUCGUCCCCGCGAAGACGAUGGCUGUGGAAUAGUUUGUUCUAGGUUUGAAAAGGAGCACUUUUUGUCCUGGUCAGCGUUGCGGAGGUUGUAUAGGUCCUUCUGGAAGUCUGCUUUAGGUUUGAAUAGAUUGGAGCUGGUUUAGCGAAGUAGUCUUUUUGACGAACAAAAUGUCUGGUGCUGUUCCAGUUUGAUGUGUUUAGGUUGCUUUGGGUGGUGGUUUUUCUUGGUUAUUAGCCGAAUCGCGUGAUAUCUGGUGAUUAGGGAAUGACGUAAUUGCUUGUGUUGUGAAGAUAAUUUUUCAUUGAUCGAUUGUGCAUUUGCAAGGAAGGAGAUCUAUUGCUGUCAGUCGUCACUCUGAUGAUGGCUCUGGAAUAGUCUCCCUUUUGGAUUUGAAUGGACCGGAGCUGGUUAAAUCUAGUUCAUUGAGCGUUAAUCCCAUCCCCGUUUCUCCGAGGGUUUUGCGGAGUAGUCUUAUUGACUAGCGAAAUGUCUAACUUAUCUCUGAACUAACCACAAAUUACAUAUGGUGUCUUGCCUACAAUUAAGUAUGGCAUCUCACGGUAUUAGCUGCAGAUUACAUGUAGAUUGUAAUUAUUUGAUCUUUUUUUGGUCAUGGAACUUGCAAAAUCAUCUCUCUUCUUUUGGUUGUCUGAAGGUGAUGAAGGUCAAGAAUUUAUCACUGUGGAGCACUAUGGCGAUGAUUUUCUAGCAGAACUCGCCGAAACUAUGCAAGACACUGAGGAUUGGGAUGAUUUGCAAGCUGCAGAAUCAGAAGCUUGUGGAGUUUUGACUGAUAUGUUUGGCCAAGAUACCCCUAAUGAUAGCAAAUGCAAUGUUGUGCACGAUAUUAAUAUUAUAGAAGAUUCUCCACAACCUGAGAAAAAUCGGACUGUUUUUUUAGGUGGAUUCCUCUACUGACAGUGAAGACGAAGAAAUAUAUUUGGCAGUAAAAUGGACAGGAAACCCUCAUGCUAUAUUCCUGAUCAAAGCAGUACUCCAAGCAAUUCAUCCACUCAACUUCUGGCCAGACCAUCUUCAGAAUACAUGGUAUGCUUCUGAAAACUGUGAAUUUGUCUCGCUCCUUCUGCCCCCACCNNNNNNNNNNNNNNNNNNNNNNNNNNNNNNNNNNNNNNNNNNNNNNNNNNNNNNNNNNNNNNNNNNNNNNNNNNNNNNNNNNNNNNNNNNNNNNNNNNNNNNNNNNNNNNNNNNNNUGUCUCAGUAUUGUAUAGGGUUGGCCUUUCGGUGAAGCAACUGUGGACACCUGAAGAGGCCACAGUAGUUACUGGGAAAAUCCCAGGAGUCUGGCCACAAUGGUCUAGUUGUUUAGGAGGUUGACAAAAAGUUGGCAGAUCUGGGCACUACUUUUUGUUCUUUUAACAAUGAUUCUGCAACCCAUAUAUCCAUUUAUUUUUGUUGCUGAGGUAUAUCGGGGUCAACAAGGACAAUGAGAAGAAUUGAGAACAGACUGUCUUGGUUUUUGAUUGGGAGAGAUUAGAGUAUCCUUCUUAUAAAACUGUUGGGAAACGCUUUCCACUCGUCUCAUUCGUUUUUGAUUGACUCUCACAACUGGCGUUUUGGUUAGUGAGACAUUGAUUUAUUACUAUUGUAAUUCCCUCUUGGUCCUUGUGGAACAACUCCUCCUGUUGACGUAGAUGAAACUGCUCAUCCCCUUAAAUUAGGGUGUCACUGUUCUUUGCUCUUAAAAAUAUGUCUUUCCUGUCAUUUCCAGUUUGCUUGUAAUUCUGCUCCCAGCAAAGGACCUCAUGCAAUGUAACUGUACAAAAGUAUUUAAUAAAUUGCUUAUGAGGUCUCUCAUCUGAUCAAAUGUUUGGUAGACACUCCUAACUUGCCAGUUACUUCCACGGUCUUUAAGAUCUAAAAUGACUUUAUUAGAACUGUUUGGUCAAUAAAAACAGUUGACUUUUGUUUUGGAUGACAUAACAAUACCCAUAUUCCAUACGUCCCAUUGAUGGCCUUAACUGCAACUGCCACUUAGCCAGUUCAUGAGGUACGAAACUUGCACAUUAUCCUCCAGAUCAUGUUAAAAAAUCAUUUGGGUAUGAUCGAAAUGUACAUCUAUUGCAGGAUAUCCUAAAAGCUCUUGGGAUCCGCCAUGCUCUUGUUCUGGAGCCAAGCGUUGACAGACCAAACCUAAAAUAUGAGGUCAUAGCUAAGACCAAUGAACCACUGAAGCAGCUUGGAGAGCUGCUAAAGAAUCGNNNNNNNNNNNNNNNNNNNNNNNNNNNNNNNNNNNNNNNNNNNNNNNNNNNNNNNNNNNNNNNNNNNNNNNNNNNNNNNNNNNNNNNNNNNNNNNNNNNNAUGUUGCAAAAUACUUGAAUGAUAAGUGCGGUAUAAAAGACAGGGUACUAUCAUGCUGGAUUAGCAGCCAUCAAAGAGUAGCUGUUCAAAAGAAAUGGCAUACUGGAGAGGUCCAGGUUGUAUGAGUAACCAUUGCUUUGGGAUGGGAAUAGAGAAACCUGAUGUUAUAAGUUGAAAUGGACUCUAAGCCUUUGCCUGCUUUUAGUUUUAGAAUCAAGGUGACAUGCUGGCAAAUGCUCAACUAUUUCACUUUUUUUCUAAUGUUUAGCUUCGCUGAUCGGUUUGAUAGUUUGCUUGGAAGUAAACUUUGCUGUUUCCAUGGUUGAGUGGCCUGCUAAAUUGUCAUUCUUGGCUAUUGAUUGCGGGAACUAGCAAAUUAUGUGUCUUUUUCAAGUCAAAUUCUUUCUUCCAUGCAUGGAACUUUGGUGUGCUGAAAUUAAGUUAAACUAGGAUAAAGUUCUUUUCUUUACUGUAAAAGUGGCAAAUGAAUCUGAUCUAACUUGACUUUCUGUUAUAAUGUCUGUCAUAUUUCAACUUAUUUUAGUUGGUUCAGUAAUUAUUUUUUUUAUGGCCUGUGGUCAGUGUUUUGUCGUCCACAACACAAUGUCCAAGUCAAUCGAAAGCUACUACCAAGAAUCAAGGAGGGCAGGAAGAGAUAAUCUACCAGCAGUGGGCAUUGCUCUAUAUGGCAAAAAGGAUUUCAGCCGGGUUGUGUCCAUGUUAAGGAGUGGUCAAGGAUGUAAAACAGAAAUCCUUAGAAGUGCAAUGGCUUAAGCUAGGAAAAUGCAGCAAUAUUGUGAACUCAAGGUAAUCCAGUUUCUCAAUUUAUCUCUGAUGAUCUCAACUAAGCGAUGCUUCUAUUUUGUCUUUACACUUUCCAUUUUGUUCUAUUGAUUGUUGUUAGUGUUGGUCUGGCAUUAACUCGUCUGCGUGCUGGAUUAUUAGAUGGGUCUGUUGACAACAUAUUCAAACAAUAAUGGAACCUUUGGGAUAAACUCAUAAUCCGCACACCUAAAUGGAGCAAAGUCUAUUGAUAAACAUGCGUUUCCUCUCUAAUUUGUGAAAUUCUCAGGAUGAGUGAUGGCGGCAAACCUUACUUGGACACUAUGGCAAGUCUUUGAAUCAGAAAGACUGUAAAUACGGUUCUAAUCCCUAUGACAAUUGUCUCAAAGCCUCUAUCGAGCUAAACCUUUCAGGUGUCAACUCUCCUGAGGGCGAAAGGUGUUGACUUACGCAUGACCUUGAGCCGCACAGUUCUAGUUCCAUCAUCCGCAAUUAUUGGAAGACUAAAUGGUAAUGGAGGGGCAGAGGUCCUUAACUAUGGACACAGAAUUCUUCAGUUCCGAUGGUUCAAUAGGACGAUUCGACCAGUUGACCUUUAGACUAGAACCCAAACCGGUUCUUUGACCGUCCGGGUCUGGAAGCGCUGCUUGACACGAUUUCAAGACCCGAUUAUUACAUGUAAACAAUAAUUGCCGGCUCUCACAGCGAUAUUGCUGUGAUAACAUGGAGGUUUGAGCGGCACUAACUUGGCAGAGAUAUGGUGGCUACUCGAUGCUGACAUUAUCUUCCUAAGGAUGAUGCAAGGUCAGGCCGUGGCACUAACUUGGCGGUGAAUAGCGCUAGCUUGUCUGAUGAGUGGUUCGUUGACAAAUGAGUGUCGAAGUUUGGCGGGGUAUGAUGGCACAGAUUGGAGGAGUUUUUGUCGUCCCGUUUCGUGAGGCUUUCAUCCAUGGUGGAGUUGGGUCGCAGUGGACCUCAAUUCAGCAACGUGAUUCUUGGAUUCAAAGUCUUUUUCAGUAGAUUUCUGCAGAGGCUGUCUCAACGGGGAUGGCGAGCUUCGAAACGCUUGCGAGCGACGAAUGAACUGAAGGCCUUUUGUACAUAACCAGAAUGUCUAAUACAGGUACUGGCGAUCAGUUAUGUACACCCCAAAGUAGUAUAGAGAUGCACAAUAUCAUGAAUGUAGACAUAAAAUGACCAUCUACAAGAUGCACACAUUAUUCUGAAUAUGUAAGAGAUUUGGUAAUUGUGUGUUGUUCACCGCAAUCAUAUCUGACAAUUUGUAACAUUGUUUUGUAAAUUAAUGAUUUUUAUCCAAUAUUGCAAUUAAACAGAUUAUGGGUGUUGUUUGAAGGGAGGUUUUUGGCUCAUACUUUUGUUAGACAAAUAGGAGCCUGGUACAAUUUUUACACUUAAAGUUAGGUUUUCCUCUAUAUAUAUAGCUUUUCAGAGUUUGAAAUUAGGUUUUUAUUUAAUGUUAACAUCUCAAUUUUUUGAAACUCGGAGAAUGAUUUUCAAAGCUGGCGUUUUAAUUUGGUUCGUAGCAAGAAAAAUUUCUUGUUAAUUAUUUAUGGGUUAUUGAAUGCGUGAAAAUGAGUAAACAUGGUAUUUGUCUUCUGCAGUAUUGCUUGGUAAUUGGAUUUGGUUGUUAAUGUGUAAACAAAGAAAUAAUAUUCAUCUUCAGUCGCAAAAAAGAUAAAUAAAUAAAUAAAAGAAGAAGAAGAUUUUGAAUAGAAGGCGCGGUUUAAGAAAUUGUUCAAGAAAUUAUGUUCUAUUAUUAGAAGAUAUGCGAAGAACACUAUUUACUAUCAAUUAUUAAAAUGUUUGCAUCUUGGAUAAUGUUUUUUAUUGAUUCAUAACCAAUGACUUUCAAAAAUAGUCGCAGGACAAGUUAUUGAAGCCAAUUAGAUUAUUCUAUCAAAAGAACUAUAAAUGAAUAUUAUCUUUUUGAUAGCUGAUCAUAAUUAAAUUUUAUCACUUCCAUUUUAUAUCAAUCUUGGCAGAGGAUAUUCUUACCUUUUACCAAAAAAAAAAAAAAAAAUCUUGGCAGAGGAGAACUAAUAAGUGUAAUUUGGCCAAAAUAAGAAAAAUUGUAUACUUCGUCAGUCACUAAUUAUUUGUCUUGGUCUUUUAUAAUGGUUUGAGUCUUGGUCUUUGUUUUUUAUUUUUUUUCGCUAGAAAUAGUCUUGGUCUUCGUAGCAUCUUCCACUAGCUAACAUGGAUGGGACCUUAGAUUGUGACAGUCUCCCCAAGGGUAAGAAUCAAUAUUUGCCUUUUAAAAGAUGGUCAUGGAUAAUGAUGUAGAAAUAUGAUAUUCUUAAAUUAAUCAUUGUAGGUAAAAGCACAGCAAUUAUAAUAUUAUUUCAAUUUAAAAAAUAGAAUUAAAUAGGAAAACUACUCUUAUUUAUGAAUGUACUUACGCAAUACUAUCGUUAGAUUAUAAUUAUUAUUGGUUGUAAUCUUGCUGAGAUGAUUCAAUGUUUGCUGAGAUUUCAUGUAUACAUUUAUGAAUGCAGCCAACACUUAGAAAGAUUAUUGAAAUCUCUUGAAAUUGUGACAAGAGGGCAAACAAAGAAAUAAUUAAAUGUUGGAAAUGUGGUACGGUCACUUUUCAACUUGCUCACAGGAAGAAAACGGUAAGUAGAUGCUAAUCUGCAAAUUCAUUAAUUGAUUCUUGUCCAUCUCCUUCUAAGUUCUAAACUUCAUCAAUCCAUUGAAUGUGCGAGUAUAUUUCAGACAAGUUAUAAUAAGGUGCAUAUAAUUAUAUAGUAUUUUCCAUUUGAUAAACAGUGCGAUGCACUAAAUAAACCAUAUAGUCCAACCACAUAUUUCCUCGACCUUUGAGAAUUAAGGAAAAAAUUAAACCAUUUCAUGGCAUCUUAUUUAAUAAGAUUUGAUCAAGCAGUGAAUGGAUUCCAAUUAGAUUGUUAUUUUGGACAUGCAUUGAAAAUGUAUAAAUGGAUGAAUUAUUUCUAGUAUAUCUCAUAUCGGCCUAUUGGAUUACGAUAUAUGGAAAUUGGAUCAGUGCUGAUGGUCAAACUACGUCUUGAGAUAUGUUAUAUAUUUAUAGGCCGGUUUCAUUUCAAGCUUAAUCACAAUUGACAUGAUUUCUAAGCUAACUACAAUCAAUGUAAUUUUCGAGCCUUAUCACCUCCCAAAACGUGACUUGAACUGAGCAUCGAGUUAUGCUUGGGCCAGCACCACCCACACAUGGUCGGCAUGGGCCUAGACAUUUUAAAAUUUAAUUUAAGAAAAAUUAAAUUAAAAACAAUGGUAAUUUUUUUCAAAUAAUAAAAAUAAUGAGAAAUCAGUUGAUGGAAAUUAAUAAGAAAAAACACUCAUUCAGUAAACCAAAUUGAACACAAGUAUAUCUUCUAAUAAUUUGAAAAAAAAAAUUACAUCUAGUGGUGCUCUAAUAAUGAUUACACUCACACAAUCGUGUCAUUCACCAUGAUUCAUAUAAUCCAUUACUGUCGGUGCUCUCAUGUCCAUGUUAGGCACCGUUCCUCCAAAGUUAAUCACUGUUUCGUACGGACGCCUUGUAUGUGCCUCAAAACUAGGCAAUCGAUGUUUCAUGUAUUCCACCGGAAUUGAGUGUUUUACCUAAUCUUUUUUGUAUUUGUGUUCUGCAUCUACCAAUUCCUUUAUAUAGAUAGCCAUUUCCGAAAUUCCUACCUCUUUUUCCUAUUAUUUGCAAUUAAUUGUAUCAUAAGGAUGCGUAUAUUAGUCUUUGGCUUAACAUUAUCUCCCCUGCAAAAUGGAUUCCACUCGAGAAAGGCACUCUAAAGACCAAUGUGGAUGGCUCGCAUGCGAAGGGACAGAGAACAGGAAGCGUUGCCCUGCGUUUGUAGAGACGAGUCUAGGAACGUUGUCGCUGGAUUUACGAAGGAAGUGCAGGCGAACUCGACGGAGCAAGUGAAAGCUCUAGCGUGCACAGAAGCCAUAUGCUUCUUCUCUUCUACUUAUGAACUCAAGUACUAUCUAGAGUUAGAUAAUUAGAUAACGAAAAGCGCGCUUUCAGAUCAAGAACAGCCAACGUGGAGCAUCCAUGCUCUCAUCUCUGAAGGCAAAAACUUGCUGGCCAAUACAAGGGCAUCCGAUUAGCCCACUGUAGGAGAGAAGCGAGCCAAGUAGUUGAUUGAAUCUCUAAGGCCCAUCGGCAAAAAUCCCUUCCCACCAACUGGGUUUCUUAUCCCCAAAAAUAUUGUAGCAUCUAAUUUGUUUAGAGGUUCGCUUAGUUUGUAAUUGCGGAACUACUUGAAAUAAUGAAAGCAGUUUAUUUUGACAAAAAAAAAAACAUUUAGAUUUCUCCACCAUCUCCCGAAAUGUAGAAGAUUGUACAAAAUUUUUGUAGAAACACUUAAUUGCAUAAUUUUUCGAUAAUCAGGGUUCUNNNNNNNNNNNNNNNNNNNNNNNNNNNNNNNNNNNNNNNNNNNNNNNNNNNNNNNNNNNNNNNNNNNNNNNNNNNNNNNNNNNNNNNNNNNNNNNNNNNNNNNNNNNNNNNNNNNNNNNNNNNNNNNNNNNNNNNNNNNNNNNNNNNNNNNNNNNNNNNNNNNNNNNNNNNNNNNNNNNNNNNNNNNNNNNNNNNNNNNNNNNNNNNNNNNNNNNNNNNNNNNNNNNNNNNNNNNNNNNNNNNNNNNNNNNNNNNNNUCUUUCGCGUGGCUCCUCACACUUGCCCAUCCACCACUGCGAGCGAUUGAUUCCAUGAAUCGGUCAGAGUCUUAGGCCUUAUGUGAUAAACAAAUGCAAAAAUGGCGGAUUUCUAGAAGGGCGACGGUGCUUUAUUUUGCUUGAAGGGGAUGAUUAGGAUGAACCCUUUGCCUUCACCUCUCUGUUUCGCUCAAUUCUUGGAGGGAUCGUGGAGAAGAUGAAGAAGCAUUGCGCCCCGGCCAUCGACAGGACCGGUCGGAUGAAUUCGAAGGGAAUGACUCCCAUCGUUUUUAGGCCAUGCAUUCUGAUGAAUUGUCUCUGCCAAUUGAAAAGGUCCAAUCUUGGACUCGAACCCACAACCGUGAGCUUUAAUCCUCAACAGAUGGCUUAUGUUGCAUAGGCAAAUGGAAAAUAAAGCAAUGAUUUUGUUAAUGAAUACAACGCGAUUUACCAUUCAUUGUUAAAAGAUUUGCAUCUUGGAAAUGUUUUAUUGGUUGACAAUCAUUGAUUUUUCAAUGAUAGAUGAGAAGAGUUAUUGAUGGAAUUGAAAGGACCAUCAAUGAGUUUACUUUUUUUGUUGGCUGAUCAUGAUGAAAUUUUGUCGCACUUUCAUUUUAUAUCGAUCUAGGCCAAGGACAACUAAUAGAUUUUAUUUGGCUGAAACAUCUUCUGACUAGGUAACAUAAAUAGAACCUUAGGCUCCAUAUGUUUCGCGGAAAACAUUAGACCAUGUGAUUGCAUUAAGGAGCCAUGAACCCAACCCUUUGCUAAUAGGGAGGCUGUUAUCAUCCGUGAACACAAAUAUUGGUACAAUUCCAUCAUUUAUCAGAUUGUUGUAGUCUCGAAAGCUCAAGAAUACAUCACGAUGAUCACUUCCCCCCUUUGGUGUUGGAGAGAUGAAUGUAGAUGUAGAUGCUCUGGCAGCGCUCUUCUUUUCAGCGAGCGCUAUUGCUUCCACUAUUUUUCCUUGUCUUGAGAAGAUUAUAAGCGCACACCGAAAGAAGAAUUGGCGCGACAAGCACCACUAAAAGAAUGCCCCAAAGCCGAACUGAUGGCACUUCGUUGUUCUCGUUGAUUUGGCUCUUCCCUUCAUCCAUGGAAGUCCAAUAGCAAAAAGAAAAAAAGGGAAAUGCCCUUCCUGUAGCGCAUAAAGGAUAGAUUAACGUAUCAACCGGACUUAUGCAUCAACUUGAAACGAUCGCCGCCACACGCUCAAGAGUGAAGUGCACAACUUCUUUUACCCAAGAAAAAGAAAAAUUACAGACCCAAGGGUGUCAAACGAAACCAGGAAAAACUUGUGGGGGGCAAAAAGAGAGCUUAAACAAACUUCGGGCGCGAAAACGGAAUAUUUAAUAAAUAGAAAGGUAAAACGUCAAUCCCGCCAUCGCUGGCGAGGUUUUUCGAACAGAGUACUUCGAGCGCACGCUCUCCAGAGAGAGGCUAGCGAUCGAUUCGAUUCCGGCUCGUGCAUCGUCGAUCGAUCGAAUCGCUCGAAAAGGUUGGAAUUCCACGGGGGAUUGGGGCUUGGAGGAGGUAGAGAAAGCUCGGGGUUGCUCAGCUUGGCUCUCGAGUUCAGCUUUGAUGAGCAGUCUGCUAGCAAGUGCUUGGACCAUCUCGUUUCGCUCUACGGUAACGCGAAUCAUUACGUCGAGUUAUGUAGCCCAUUUUUUAUGCUGAUUGGCCGUCGAAGCACUUGCUGGCAGACUGCUCGUCGAAGCUGAACUCGAGAGCCAAGCUCAGCAACCCCCGUGGUCCGUCCUCCAGCAACGCGGCGUCAAGGUCCGCGGAUCCGACGUAAGUGCCCCUUUUUCUCCCACGCGCAUUGCGCACGCUAGCAAGAACACUCGUUCGGCAGAUGACUUGACGCGCUAGCUCAGCUUGCGUAGUUCCCGUCCUGCUGGGUUGGCGUCGGAAUUCGCGAUAGCUUCGGUUCAUUCAAUGCACGAAAAGUUUCGCGCAAUGUUUUUUUUUUUUUUUUGGUUACGUGAAAGCCUAGUUGAGGUCUUGUAAUGCUCGGGGCGUCUUGAUUUCAGCUUUUCAUGCUUUGAAAUGUGCGGCCGUGAGUUGUGGGGAUAAGAGGUGGGAGAGUGUGUGAUGUGUUUGAUUUUAUGCUCCAUCCAGUGGAGAUGCGAAUAUGGGUUCCUGGGUAGUUUCGUAUACGGCCUUGCUGUUUGGAUAAUUCUUCUGUGGAUAAAUUGUCCUUGUUCUCAAGGAUUUUUCUGUGCUGGCUGAGCUGUGGUCAUUGGUCAAAUUUUGUACUCUGGACAUGCUUACUAACAAGAUUAGUGAGUUGACAGUCUCUUUAAAUGGGUUCGUAGGUUUUGUGUGAGAGGGUGAGUCUCCCGUUGAUGAACUUCACAUUUCAUAUCUCGAAAUUUGAGUUAGAUUCGAGAUACAGCAGGAUAAGUUUGGUGUGACUGUAAGAGAUUCAUGCCAAAUAUUAGGAUACGGAUAUCCAACAAACAUCAAACGGCAGAGAGGGCGGUCAGUUUGAUGAGUAUCAGCUGUCUCAUAAUUGGACUCGACUAUAAAGUGGUAAAUGAGGAUUGCACAUCGAGUGUGUUUAUCAGGUUGUUCAGUUUGGUAUUUUUCAUACAGUCAUAUAAUUUUUAAUUUCUCGCAUCACUGAACUAAGUGCAAAUCGCAUAUUGUAUAUUGUGUUUAUUUGAUCUCUUAUUUGCCAUGGAAUGUGCAAAAUCAUCUCUUUCUUCUUUUGGUUUUCUUAAGGUGACGAAGGUCAAGAGUUUAUCACUGUAGAGCACUGUGGCAAUGACUUCCUAGCAGAACUUGAUGAAACCAUGCGAGAUUCUAAGGAUUGGGAUGAAUUGCAAGCUGUGGAAAUCAGAAACUUGUGGAGUUUUGACUGACAUGUUUGGCCAAGAUAUCGGUAGUGACGGUGAAUGCAAUGGUAUACAAGAUAUCGAUAUUGUAGAAGAUUCUCCACAACCUAAGAAGAACCAAACUUUUCUUGAGGUGAAGAUUCCUCUACUGAUAGUGAUGACGAAGACAAUAUAUUUUCAGUAAAAUAGGCAGGAAAUCUACAUACUAUGUUCCUAACUAAAGUGGUACUCCGAGCGAUUCUUUCAUUCAACUUUUGGCCGAACAAUUUUUUAGAAUCCAUGGUAUGCUUCAACCAUGGACAUAGCCAAUACAUGCCAAACCACUUAAAUCACUAUGUCACUGUUAUGUUCUCAUAUAAUUUAUUCUCUGCUUGAUCAUUUUUAAUUUUGCUUGCAAUUUUGCACAUAGCAAAGGACCUACAUGAUGUACAUGUACAAAAGCAUUUAGUAAAUUUUUCUUGUGGUGCCUCUCAUCCAAUGAAAUGUCCAAUAGACAGUCAUAACUUUUGCCAAUUGCUUCCAAAAUAUUCGAGAUCCAAAAUGACAUAUUGGAACUCUUUGGUCGAUAAAGAAGUUGACUUUUGUUUUGGAAGAUGUACAAGUACCUAUUUUCUCAAAAUACUUUGAGAGUAUAGCAAAUCAUCAAAGUGUGGAACUCAGUGAUCUAGUGUCUUUGAUAGGAGUGUUUUGCAUAAAUGAAGGCUUGUAAUUUCUUUGUGCACAUUUUUUAUUUUCCAUGACAAUCCAUUUCAGAAACUAUUACGGUGCUAAAGAGGCUUAUUCCUGUUGAAGGACUGUAAGAGCACUGUCACUCAAGGUUCAAUAUCAGUUUCAAAUAAAAACGGCCAAUGUUGUCAUAUUCAGAAAUAGAGCAUUUUGACCAAUGUGGCAUUAGGCAUGUAAAGCUUCUGUAGCCAAGCAAGAUUGCUUCAUUCUCAUGCUCAUUGGAGGUGGUAAAAGUUUAUGUUACUAGGUUAGUGAAUGUUAACAUUAUUUCAUUUGCGCAAUGAUCGAAUGAAGACGUAAGUGUGGAGACAAUGUUUAGAGCGCAAGCCCUGUGCACUUUGCUCAAUGGUUCCACUGAUUAAAUACUAGACAGAUAGACCUGUACAUUGAAAUUUUAAGCUUUUUAAUGAUCUUGUAAUCUGCUUUGUUAGCACUGUUGCAAAGUUUGUGCUUAAACUUAAGGAUGAAAAUAUUUUCGAAAUGCAAAUUAAGCUAUAGGAAGUGAUUCGGGUACAGAACCAUGGGUUCCAAUGUACAGGAUCUGACUAAGUUGGAAAAGAAUAUUAUACUGGACAUUCUUGUUCUGCCUUCGCACAUUUCUAUCUAUUCUGUGAUUUCUAGAAUUUGAGGUCUUUACUAUUCUUCUAGGACCUUCUAAUUACUUACUGAAAAAUUUAUCUUGUUUUUGCAUGUAAGUGUUGUUGUCAGUCAUAGUUAAGGUCCAAUUCAAAAGGGUUAUUAAGUCAAAGUUUUUAAAUUACUUGUGCCAAAUACAUAUUUAGAUCUCUAUAUUUCCUGCAGGUAUGUGCUAUGUUAUCAUCUCAACUGGGGUGAUCAUGUAAGAUGGAUCUUGGUAGCAUGCAACAUAUUUGAUCUACUGAAUCACGAAGGAAGAUAUUAAUCUGAAUUUAUUAAUUUAAGUUAUCCUGAAGUAUUUUCUGUUGAGUCUUGAAGUAGAUGAUAUAUGUUUCUAACUGAGGUAAAUAUAAGACAAACAGUGACAACUGGUGCUUUCUGAUCAGCCGAAGGUGAAUGAACGGAUAAUUCCCUCAUCCCAUCUUCUCUUCAUGUGCUCUUCUGAUGUUUUUACCCUUCGUUUCAGCUACCAACAACUCUUAAACCAGGUGUCACAUUUCAUUAUAUGUCCCCUGCUAUCUAUCAUCCAGGACAAAAUAAUUACUCUAACCCUCCAUAUGUUACAGUGGAUGCACAUUUUUUAUGUAUUUAAUGAAAAGGUUCAUGCCUAAGAUGUUUGCCUCAAAUAAAUUUUAGGAUCUUAGUGUUCCUAGAGAAGUAUAUCAUAGCAUACAAUCAUCAUNNNNNNNNNNNNNNNNNNNNNNNNNNNNNNNNNNNNNNNNNNNNNNNNNNNNNNNNNNNNNNNNNNNNNNNNNNNNNNNNNNNNNNNNNNNNNNNNNNNNNNNNNNNNNNNNNNNNNNNNNNNNNNNNNNNNNNNNNNNNNNNNNNNNNNNNNNNNNNNNNNNNNNNNNNNNNNNNNNNNNNNNNNNNNNNNNNNNNNNNNNNNUGCUUGCAUAGAAAGGUACUAUUUCUGAUACACUGUAACUUUCUUUUUAAAGUUUCUUUUUAACUUUUUGAUGCUCGACUGUCGUGCAUUGCAAGCACAACUAGCUGGUUUUGUUGUUGAUGAGGCACAUUGUGUGAGGUAUGUUCUUUGGCAUCCUUGCAUCUGAAGCAAAGUUAAUGCUAAAGUUACUUCAAAAGGAAUAUGUAUUUAUGAUGUUGCCACUGCAAAACUACUGUCCUUGUCCCAGAUAAAGAAGUUAACUUUUAUAUACACUCACUCAAACUCUCUUUUUUGAACGUUUUUGCAUAUUAUGUAUUUCUAGCCUAAGUACAUUGUCCGUAGUACACUGAACCUCCUGAAACCCAAACCUUCUGUGAUGAUCUAGUAUAACAGAAUGCAAUGUUGAAAUAACUAAUUUUGGAAAUGAUCUAGUUCCUUCUUGUGGGAAAAGUCAGUGGCACAUCGUUAAUCAAAUAAAGCAAAAUGCACACAACUAAAAUGAGUUCCAAUGGGAAUUACUUUCGGAAGUAAUUGGAAGUGUCCAUGUUUGGCUUGGUAGUCAGGUCUCUUUAGGUGGUUCUUGUGUCCCUAUUUAUUAUUUUAACCUUUUUACUAUAUGUUAACAACUUGGGACAUAAGGCAAAAGUUCACCCAUUGGAUCAUUGGUUGUGUUUCUUAUUAGGUCUUUACUGGAUUUGUGCCGCCAGUGCCAUCUCAUGAAAGAAACAUACUGCUGGUUUGAGCUUUUCUCAUAUAUUUGAAUGAUUGUAAAUGAGUAACGCUUAUUGAUCAUUACUUUCUCUGUUGUCAUUAUUGCAGUCCAUGGGAACGUGAAUUUUGUCCAAAUUAUAGAGGACUGGAAUGUCUCAAGCAAAACUUUCCAUAUGACCCUGUGAUGGCCUUAACUGCCACUGCCACCUGUUCGUGAGGUAUGAAACUUGCACAUUAACCUCCAGAUUUUGCUGAAAUAAUCAUUUGGGAAUGAUUGACAUCCUAAAAGCUUUCAGGAUCUGUCACGCCCCAAUCCUUGGGCACGCACACAUCCUUCAUCUUGGUCGAUUUUAUAAUGCGAUAUCCCAGGACAAUGUAUCGCCGACCCUUUUAAUUUUUAAGCACAUGCGGAAGCAGUUAAAAUCCCCAGACAAUAAAACGAUGGGAUAGAAAAGCAGGGCCAUAUUUUUCAUAUUGAAAUUUAUAACCAAACUUUUAUACAAACCACAAACCCUUCAUAACUAUUCACAUCAAAACGGAGAUCUCAAAAGAAGACAGAAACUUAGAUGAACUAGGCCGUACUCAAGGCCCCUCUCAGAAUUGUCUUCUUCUUCCAAAAAAUCCUUUUCUUCAGAUCUCACCUCCGAGUUCUCCUUCUCGGAUUCCUCCUCCACAGCUCUUCAGCGGGGUCCUGAAAUGGUUUUCCCCAAACUGGGAUGAGACUACGUCUCAGCGAGUUCUACCCCACUAAGCCCGAUUAGUAAACUAUUAUACUAAAGGCUGCCUAAACACGCACAGGGCAGAGGACUUACCUUGGCCUCAGAUCUUACCUGCAAGUCAGUACAAUUCACAAUAGGCACCCAUUUACUCAAAACAAAUCGAACCAGUCGAUUACAUGUCAUACAAUUCAAUCCCCACCGUGGGAUAUUUAAAAGCUAGGCCACGUGCAUUCUCCAGGACGACCUUCCAAGUCUCCGAGCCACGUGCCUCAAACCUCGGACCCACGUGCAUUCUCUAAGGCGACCUCUUCGCCAAGGUGGUACAUCAAGCCACCGAGCCACGUGUCCUUUUUACGAUGCCCGGGCCCACGUGCAUUCUCUAAGGUACUCGCUUACCAAAGUGACGCAUCAGAUCACCGAGCCACGUGCCCUUUUAGAUGCCAUUCCGAAUACUGGACCCACGUGCAUUCUCUAAGGUACUCGCUUACCAAAGUGACGCAUCAGAUCACCGAGCCACGUGUCCUUUUAGAUGCCUGGGCCCACGUGCAUUCUCUAAGGUACUCACUUACCAAAGUGACGCAUCAGAUCACCGAGCCACGUGCCCUUUUAGAUGCCAAACUCUGUCACCGAGCCACGUGCAUUCUCCAGGACGACAUACCAAGUCUCCGAGCCACGUGCAUUCUCUCAGGCGACCUCUUCGCCAAGGUGACAUAUUCAACCACUGAACUCACGUGCAUUUUCCAGGUGACAUUCCAAUUCACCGAGCCCACGUGUCCUCUUUCAAGCGGUUACCAAUCUUCUUUCAACACCGACAACCAAUGCCCAACGAUUUCUCAAUCAAAUAAUUAAAUCAAGUCAACAAAGCAUUAUAAAUGCUGAAUAACAUACUUGGCCAAUCACCAAUCAAUAAUUCAAUCUCAAUCGAUUCCAAUCAAUUUAGGGUAAAUCCCUAAAAUAUCACAAUUUAUUCAAUUCCAUACAACGUAGAGCUCAAAUAAAUAAACGGACUGCGCCACGACAAUCAGCACGAGAUUUCGGUCGUCGGCCAUCAACAUCUUAAUUUUUGAAAAAUAAUUAAUUUCGAAAAAUUAAAUAAUUAAUAUUAAAAAUUCAAUUUAGCUCAAAAUAAAGCCCGAUUAAAUAAACGGACUUCACCACGGUCAUCAGCAUAAUAUUCCGGUCCCGGGCCAUCUCAGUUGAAUUUUCGGAAAAUAAAUAAUUAUUUAAUUUAAUUCCGAAAAUUAAUAAUUAAAUACUAAAAAUAUCCACUUAGGCCCGAAAAGCCUAAUUGGAGCCCACUAAGGGUUGGGAAAAUUCCCGAAGCACUUCCAAUAAUUAGUAGACCACGUCUACUUGCUAAUUGCGCAAUCAAUUUAUCUAAAUCGCAUCACAAUUCACUAAUAAUUGCUAAUUUAUUCUAAUCUAACAACCUAAACAUAAUUAAUUAAAUCUAAACCAACCUUAAGCAUAAUUAGCCAACUAAUCCUGGAUUAGUGAGAUUACUCACCAAAUCGCAUCACAAAUCGGAUCAAUCCGACGGCGGCGACGCGAGGAACGAUUGUUCCCAAAGCACGGCUCGGGUUCGGGGCCCGGAAACGGCCCAAAACGGCCCAAGAGCCGGCUGAAAACCCACUUCGUGGGUUGCUGGAUUAGCUGCGAAACAGAGGAAAACAGAGAUGGUUAGAGGCGGAGAGGGGUGGGGAAAGCAAGAGGCGGUCCGGUGAGGCCACACGGCGGCUCCGGCGGCUUGCUCGGCCACUCACGGUGGCUGGACGAGACGGAACAGUGGCUGGUUCGUGCGGAGGGAGGAGCGGCCGCGAGCGACGGACGGCGGGACGGCGGCGGCGCACAGCCGCGGCCGCGGGUGCGGGCGCCGGUGCGGCCGGCGGGACAGCGACGGAGCUGCAACUUCUGGUCUUCUUCCGCUUCUGGUUUCCCGCGAAGAAGAAAGAAGAAAGAAGGAGAAGAAAGGAGCCGGUUCUGACGUGCAGGGGAAAAAAGAAGAGAGAGAGAGAAGGGAUAAGCAUUGACCGGUCAAAAGGGAAGAGAGAGGGAAUAGGCGGUCGGGAAGGGUUUCGCACGAGGGGGAGGGGAGAGAGAGAGAGAGAGAAAAAGAGAAAAGGGAAAGGGAAAGAAAAUAAUACUUUAAUAAGAAAACCCAAUUUUCUUAUUUCUAGUAUUUUCCUUUUUUUCAUUCCCUUUUUAUUUUCUUUCAGGUCUUCGAUUUUUCCUCCGAUAAUUUCUUUCUUGAAAUUUCGGACUCGGCAAUAAAUUGAUAGACGAUGAGACGGUCCUAAAAAUGAAUUGUGACACGUCUGAAUAUUCGAUUCCCGAAACCAAAUCAAAUUCCAUGGUUAAAAUCGACCGGACGUGAUUUUAGUCCAAUCCAACCAAUUAGGUAGCUUUUAGGGAUUUUACCAUGGAUAUAUCCCUUAAUAGCUUCACCCAAUAGGUUAGUUAACUCGUGAGUGAUCAGCUCAAAGAAAAAGGACCAUAGGCACGUCGACGAAAUGCACAUUUCAUUUUAUCGAAACGGGGUCAAAUUUCAGGAUGUCACAGGAUCCCCCAUGCUCUUGUUCUUGAGACAGAUUUGAUAGACCAAAUCUAAUGUCUGAGGUCAUAGCUAAGACCAAAGAACCAAUGAAGCAGCUUGGAGAGCUGUUAAAGAAUCAUUUUGCUAAUUUUUGUGGGAUAGUAUUUUGCCUCUCAAAGAGUAAAUGUGUUGAUGUUACCAAAUACUGAAUGAUACGUGCAGUAUAAAGACGGUGUACUAUCAUGCUGGAUUACCAGCCCAUCAAAGAGUAGCUGUUCAAAAGAAAUAACAUACUGGAGAGGUCCAGGUUGUAUGUGCUACCGUUGUUUUUGGCAUGGGAAUAGACAAACCUGAUGUUGUAAGUUGAAAUGGACUUUGCGCCUUUGUCUAUUUUUAGUUUUAGAAUCAAACUGACACGUUGGCAAAUACUCAAUUAAUCCACUUUUCUUCAAAUGUUUAAGUAUCACUAAUUGGUUUCUUAGUGUGCUUUGAAGUAAACUUUGUUAGUUCUAUGGUCCAGUGGCCUGCUAAAUUAUCAUUCUUGGCUAUUUUUCGAGCCGAAUUCUUUCUUCCAAGCACCAAAAUUAAGUUAAACUAGGAUAAAGUUCUUUUCUUUACUGUAAAAGUGGCAAAUGACUCUGAUCUAACUUGACCUUCAGUUAUAAUGUUUUAGUCAUAUUUUAACAUUUUUUUUAAUUUGGUUCAGUAAUUAUAUUUUAUGGCAUGUCAUCAGCAUUUUGUCAUCCACAACACAAUGUCAAAGUCAAUCGAAAGCUAUUACCAAGAAUCAGGGAGGGCAGGAAGAGAUCUACCAGCAAUUUUUCCACUCGACUUCUGGCCAGACAAUCUUUAGAAUCCAUGGUAUGCUUUAACCAUGGACAUAGCCAAUAUAUGCCAAACCACUUAAAUCCCUGUCACUGUUCUGUUCUCAUAUAAUUUAUUCUAUGCUUGAUCAUUUCCAAUUUGCUUGUGAUUCUGCACACAGCAAAGGACCUACACAAUGUACAUGUCCAAAAGCAUUUAGUAAAUUGCUUAGGGGGCUUCUCAUCCAAUCAAACGUCCAAUAGACAGUCUUUAACUUUGGCCAAUUUCUUUCACACUCUUCAAGAUCCAAAAUGACAUACUAGAACUCUUUGGUCAAUAAAGCAGUUGAUUUAAGCUUUGGAUGAUGUGCAAAUACCUAUAUUUCUCAAAUACUUUGAGAGUACAGCAAAUCAUCAAAGUGUGGAUUAGCAAUCCAGCAUCUUUGAUAGGAGUGUUUUGCGUAAAUGAAGGCUUGUGAUUUAUGCGGAGUGUUUGGACUGUCAAAUUAUUAAUCUUUGCCUGCCUUUUCAGAAAGAUAAACCAUUGUGCAAGCUACUGUAUGUAACUGCUGAAAGGAUUGUGGGAAACCCAUCAUUUCUUGAGAUAUUGUAAUGCUUGCAUAGAAAGGGAUUGUUUCUGAUGCACCAUAACUUUUUCUGAAAGGUUCUUUGUAAAUUUAUUAUAUUCAACCAUCAUGCAUUGCAGGCACAGCUAGCUGGUUUUGUUAUUGAUGAGGCACAUUAUGUGAUGAAUAUGUAAUAUUUGGCAUGCCUUGUACAUGAAGAAAGAUCAUGCUAGAGUUACUUCAAGAGGAAUAAUUAUUUGUGAUGUUGCCUCUGGAAAAAUGUUGUCCUUGUUCCUGAUAAAUAUAAGCAAGUUAACUUUUAUAUAUGCUAACUUAAACUCUUUUUCCAAACUUUUCUGCAUUUUCUGGGUUUCUAGCCUAAUUAAAUUGUCAGUGUUACUCUAGACCCUCCAAAGCCCAGAACCCUAUUAAGUUCUAAUAUAACCAAAUGCAGUGUUCCUUGUUUGAUGAAAAGAUUUAGGUUCCGUCAUUUGGGAACACUUAGCGGCACAUCGUAUAUUAUAUUGAGUAAAGAGGACACAAUUUAAUAAAACUCCAAUGGAAAGUACUCCUAGAGUAAUUGGAUCCAGCAUAAGCUUGGAUAAGAUCCAAUCUCCUCUUUAUGUUUGGCAGGACACUCAGUCUCUGAGUGGUUCUUGUAUCCCUAUUUNNNNNNNNNNNNNNNNNNNNNNNNNNNNNNNNNNNNNNNNNNNNNNNNNNNNNNNNNNNNNNNNNNNNNNNNNNNNNNNNNNNNNNNNNNNNNNNNNNNNNNNNNNNNNNNNNNNNNNNNNNNNNNNNNNNNNNNNNNNNNNNNNNNNNNNNNNNNNNNNNNNNNNNNNNNNNNNNNNNNNNNNNNNNNNNNNNNNNNNNNNNNNNNNNNNNNNNNNNNNNNNNNNNNNNNNNNNNNNNNNNNNNNNNNNNNNNNNNNNNNNNNNNNNNNNNNNNNNNNNNNNNNNNNNNNNNNNNNNNNNNNNNNNNNNNNNNNNNNNNNNNNNNNNNNNNNNNNNNNNNNNNNNNNNNNNNNNNNNNNNNNNNNNNNNNNNNNNNNNNNNNNNNNNNNNNNNNNNNNNNNNNNNNNNNNNNNNNNNNNNNNNNNNNNNNNNNNNAUGCUCUUGUUCUUGAGACAAGCUUUGACAGACUAAAUCUAAAAUAUGAGGUAAUAGCCAAGACCAAGGAACCACUGAAGCAGCUCGGAUAGCUGCUAAAGAAUCGUUUUGCUAAUUUGUGUGGCAUAGUAUAUUGCCUUUCAAAGAGUGAAUGCGUUGAUGUCGCAAAAUACUUGAAUAAGAAGUGAUGUAUAAAGACAGUGUACUAUCAUGUUAGAUUAGUAGCCCGCCAAAGGGUAGCUGUUCAAAAGAAAUGGCAAACUGAAGAGGUCCAAAUUGUAUGUUAUAAAAAGAAAUGGCAUACUAUCAUUCUUGUGUUAUUGACUAGCUAUAUUAUAAAUUAUAUAAUCAAUACAUUGACUUUACUAGCAACUUUUCUCAUGUUAUAUAUAAUCAGUAUGCUCAAAAUUAGAUUAUUUCAUGUUUAAUAUAUUUAACUAAUGUUUUGACUUGUUAGUGCGGCCCGCAUUACGUAUGAUUUAGUGCUUGAAUAUGCAAACUUGGCUUAACAAGUUAGUUAAAGUUUUGGUAAACAACGACCAAAUUUGAAUAUAUGAUUAUCUUGUGGGUAGCUUUUAACUACUAAAGUUCCACUGUUGUAAUGUAGUAUGAUGAAGAGGAACAUUUGAGAGUACUGGCCCCAAAGAAAAUGGUUCUAUUGAAACUUGAAAGCAUGACCAAUGACUACAAUUUGGUGUAGUAGAGUCCAAGUACUAACCAAGUAGAUGACCGUUCAAUGGUUUAGUCCAAAUUUGGCGUAGUAGAGUCCAAGUACUAACCAACUAGACGACCGUUCAACGGCUUGGUCCAAACCAAAUGGAUAUAAAUUUCGGGAAGAUUUAACAUUUUCUUUAUCAGUCAACUAUAGCCAACACCAAAGAAAAUUUGGUUUCAAGUAUGAUUAUGUAUGGCUGUGUCUACACUGCUUUAUAGGCUCAUGCUUAAAGGAAUCAAGUUUGAGAUUAUACUAUCAAAGUGAUUGCAAAAUGCCAAUACGUGAACUUCCCAAAAUCCAAGAGCUGAUUGUACACUAACGAACACUUUUAUGUUGCGCUCAAAAUUCUUCCGAGUGAAAAACUACUGUCUUUUGGGAACCUUUUUACUGAAAAUCUUGCCUGCAAUUGACAGAUUAUUUGCUGAUUCCAUGAUAUUCACUUUUUACAUUAAAGAAGUCUCUCACAUUCACAAAAUUGUAGCUAGAAGUGGACAUCUAAAACGGUAAUCUUGUUGACAAACAUGACUUUAUGCUUAACUUCACAUCCAAAACCACCUGUACAUGCAGUCUUCCUGCAAGCAUUUUGAAAUUCUACCUUUGCUAAAUAAUAGCAUGAUGUCAAAGUUUGCAAAGGACUACUUCACCGCAUUAGAAGAGGUCCCUUUAUAUCAAGAAUCCUAUCAAGAUUAUCAGCAUAGAGCACAUUAUAAACACCUUUAGCGAAGAACUUCGGAACACCUUUCCAUAACGUCUCAUGACAUAUCUCAUUUCGGUCCACAUCUCUGUCCUGUGAUGCUCGGGAAUGUUCUCUGAAUUUUAUGAAAUGCAACUUGAAUCUACACAAGAAGGAUUAUUUACUAAUUAUCAAUAAAUGGGGAUAUUUGAGAUCGGAGCAUCACAAUUUACAUCAUGAAAGAUAAGGUACAAAUGCACAAACAUCAUUUGCACCAAUUGCAGUUGGACCGUAAUGAACAGAGACUUCAUGAGCUGGCCGAUGAAAACGUAAACAACAGGCUUGGAAGAAGUAGCAAUUAGCAACACUUUCCCUGUUUGUGUUUAGGAACAUAAUUGAUGUCAAUAAAAAUAUGCUGAAAGGUGAAGUGCUUAAACUACAUAAUAGAAAGAUAAAUUUAUUAUUUGGUUAUUCUGCAAUAUCCUGUUAGCAAAAUCAGCAAAACAGGAUAGUUUGCUAGGAGGUGAAUUUUAACUUUACAAAGUCAACGUCGCAUGAGAACUGACCUUAUCAAAUUAAAAAAGUCAGAAACCUAUAUGACAACAUUCAAAGGAUAGUAUCACAUUGAUGAACUGAUAGAAAUGAAGGAGAUUGUCCUCAUGCAUACUUGCAUACUUUUCAGGUGCAAUUCCAUAGCUCAUAUAGUAUGAGCAAACAAGUUAUUUUUCCAAUGUUAUGGUACGACUAGUAGUGCAUACCUCCCUUUGCAGAGCCUUAUCAAGUUCCAGAAUGAUAACAUUAGAAUGCAACAGCAUUAAACAAACAUUUCUGCAUCAGGGUGACAUACAAAAAAAUCAGCAGCUACGUAUUGGAUUAACAGAGAGGUUGAACCUCAUGAACAUACAAAAAGCAGAUUCAACUCAAAAUACAACAUCAAAAUCAUUUGAGUAUGUGCUGUCGAGACCAGAUAAAGUGUACUAGAUCCUCACAAGCAUACAAAAUUCCCCAAGUAACAUAGAGAAUCUCAAGCGAAGACAAGUCACCGAUUUCACUUGGAAUUGCUCUUUUAGACAACAGCGUGAUGGGAAACUUAUAGUGCACCAAUUUUUCAACCUUCCUAUAGCACUAGGAAGCUUUUCAAUACCAGAACCACUAAUGUCUAAAUGUUGCAAAUUCUGUAAAUUUCAAGUUGAGCUACUGAUAUCAGUGAGCGACUCACAACAGCUCGCACUCGGUUUCUCCAGCUUCCUCAGAGAACUGAUAGACGUAGGAAUCUCAGUAAUAUCAGCAAAAUCUAAUAUAAGUUCUAAUUUGACAGAUUCACCUCCUUUCAGUUCUCACAUACCCAUCCGCUCUUGGUCCAGUCCGUUGCCACAUUCUUCUUCCAAGAUCCCAAAUCUCCUGUGGAUCCUAAGAUUGCCACACUCUCCCCAAUUUCAACUUGACGAUCCAGCCGAACGCUGAGAUGCACCUUUUCCCGUCCCAGCAAUGAUCUGAUCUUCUUUGCUUUCUUCUCCUCUUCUCUGCAAUGAACACAUUAUUUCAUAGCUUCUACCAAUAGCCUCCUUCCUUGUCUAAACAACUUAAACAACAAUUUUCACUUGAACCACCGAUUCAUUGUUUGUCAUUUAACACCACAUUCAAAGAGAAACCUCAAAUCAAGACGGUGUCAGAUAAUCCGUGCCGCUAGCUUUUAUUGCAACAAGAACUCGAAAGAAAAACAGAAUAACUCUUUUUUCCGCACCAAUUCUUGUUCAAGUAAUAAACCCCACAUAAACUCCAUCCACACUAGAGACUCAGAGAAACCUUUGAUCGAGAAUUCCAUAAAACAACUCAAUACCUCACUCCAAACCCCAGUGCUUGAUCAGACUGACAUAAGUGCACUGGAACAAAUCCAGAGAGAGAGAGAGAGAGAGAGACCUGGUUUUAGUGGUGAAAACACCGCGAACAACCAUGAAGGAGCGACUCUGAGCUGCAUGAGCUCCAUGCAUCCACAUGAGAGAAUCUUGAAGGGGAGAAGUAAUGCUGCUCUUCAAGAAAAAACUGGUCUCUUUACUUGGUUUUAGGUAUGAAAAUGCACAUGGCUGUGUCUCUUUUGCUUUUAUAUUUAUGCUUAAAUAAAUCAAGUUUGAGGUUAUAUGACCAAAAUGAUCGGAAGAUGCCUACAUAUGAAUUUCCGAUGUAACCAGACCAAAUGAAUGAUUUUAGAAUGCCAUUAUUUUGGGUUCAAAAUUCUUCCAAAUGAGAAACUACCGUCUUCUUGGAAACCUUUUCAUUGAAACUCUUGGCUGCAGUUGACAGAUUAUUUUUUGAUUCCACGGCAUUUGCUUUUUCCACGAAAAAAGUCUCUCCCAGUCACAAAACUGUAGCUUGAAGUGGACAUCUAAAUGGUAAUCUUGUUAACAAAUCUCAUUUUAUGCUUGACUUCACAUAUAAAACCACCUGCACAUGCAGUCUUCCUCCAAGUGAUUUGUGAUGCAGCCUUUGCUAAAGAAUAGCACGAUUUCAACCUUGCAAAGGACUAAUACACCACAUGAGAAGAGGUCGCCUUAUAUCAAGAACCUUUGAAGAGUAUUAACAACAUGGAGCAAAUGACAAAUGCCAAUGGCAAAGAACUUCAAAAUGCCUUUCUAUACUGACAUAGCUCAUUCUUGCCCUUAUCUAAACCCCGUGGUGUUUGGGGACUUCCUCCGAAUUUCAUCAAAUGCAGCUUUAAUCUGCACAAGGAAGAUAGCACUGAGUAAUUAUCAAUAAAUGAAGAUGUCCAAGAUCGUAGCAUCAGAAUUUACCUCAUGAGAGAUUAAGGUACAAAUGCAUAAACAUCGACACCAAUCAAAGUUGGACCACAAUGAAAGGUAACUUCAUUAGCUGGCCAAUGAAAAAGAAACCAACAAGCUUAAAAGAAGUAAGCAAUUAGCAACACUUUCCCAGUUUGUGUUUAGGAACAGAAUUGAAAUUAAUAAAAUUAUGCUGAAAAGGUGAAGUGCCUAAACUACAUAACAGAAAGAUGCAUUUCCUACUUGGUUAUUUUGCAAGAUCCAAUUAGCAAAAUUAGCAAUACUGAUCGUUUGCAAAGAGGUCAAUUUCAACUUUACAAAUCCAAUGCCACAUACAUGAGAAUUGAGCUUGUCAAACCUAUAUAAUAACAUUCAGAGGAUAUCAUCACACAAAUAAACUGAUAGAAAUGGAGGAGCCUAGCAAUGCAUACCUCCCUCUGCAUAGCAUCAUCAAUUCCAGAGUGAUAUCAUUAGACUGCAACCGCAUCAAACAACUCUGCAUCAGGGUAAGAUACAAAAACUCAUCAACUUAGUGUUUGAUUAAAGGAGAGCUAGAACCUAAUGAGCAUACAUAAAGCAUAUUUAAUUGAAAAAAAAUACAUGUACAAUCAUUUAGGGAUGUGACAUUGAGAUCAGAUCAAGUGUUUUGGAUCUUCAUGAGUAUCAAAACUUCCUUAGGACACUCCAGUCGGCCCCAAAGCCUCUUCAAGUUUGGCACGCAAGAUGGUCCUCAGCUGUUGCUGAUGCUUCCUCUGCAAAAUCCCUUUUCUUUAUUUUGAUCAAUCUCAAGUAUGGAAUUUGAAGUUCCUCAGCCAAGUGAGCCACACCCAAAUCAGUCAUGUAAUAAAGCAAUUCCAUGGCAAUAAUAGGAUCAAAUGGUAUGCAAACUAAUUAGCAAAUUCUUGAGCUCCUCAUCCUAGCUUGUUUCACGACGGGCAAAACAUUGUUCAUUAAUGCAAAAGUCAUCGAUACAGUUAAUCGAACUGAAGUCCCAAAGUAAGCCUUGAUCAUUACACAGACCAACCAAACCUGUCAUGGAAGCAGAACCAAUUUACCUUGCUUAAUAAUAUUCAAAACCAUAGUUUGACUACUAGUAAUGUUAAGGUGGCGUACAUUCAUAUAUGACAGACUAGCCAAAACUACUUUAACAUUUUUUUUUAUCACAAACCAAAAACACUUGAUAUGUUUUAUUUUAGCUCACUUCAUCAUACUUAAUGGGAAUCGAUGCUAUUCUUAGAAGGUUCAAGAGGAACAUCAAGGGAACAAUAAGAAACUUGACAGGGUUUCUGUUCAUUGCGGAAAACCAAUAUGUUUGUCUCAAACAGGACAUUUGCCAUUAGUCAAAUUUCACACAAAAGAACUCACAAAGUAACUCAAAAUGGCCAAGGAUUUUUUCAAAGAAAGUAUUAAUUAUGGACAGGGAAAUUCUGGGUGUAGUUUAAAAUAUUGAGUAGCAGAAGUUCAUCAGCCUCGAUUUGAAAAUUUCAAAUCCCAGGUUUACUUAUGGAGGAACUGUUAAAUCACUAGAGAAUUCUUGUUUACCUUUGCUUGAUAUUUUCAUCCUUGCCUCGCAAGCUGCUAAUCUGUUUGUAGUCUGCAGAAGCUGCCAAUGGAAGGAUAAACGAAAAUAUUGCUACAUCGUAACCGACAGCAAUAUGUGUAGGCAAAUUUGGAGUUUCCAAAAUCAAUCAAAUAGAUACCCAGCACAGAGCAAAUCAUUCUGAAAGAAAUUAAAAUAAAACUUUAAGAAAACUAUUACUCUAUUUGCUCACGCUGGCUAUUCAAGGAUGGAGAAUCUUACUAUGCCUUCUAUUGACAUUUGGGUCUAUAUUUUGAUCUUGGCUGAAGCAUCAUGUAUGACCAACUCCCCCAUUCCUUCAAUUAUGACAGAACCCUGUCAUGGAAGACCUUCUUGUCAAAAGAAGAUGGGGAUGAAAAGUAGGCCAUGAAUCUUAGAAGAAAAAUGAUUGUUAACUGCUUAUUUACCUCUGUUGAGGAAACAUCACUCCAAAAGUCAAAAGACAGCUCUCGCUCAUAAUUUCUAAAGACACGCAUCUCAGUAUUGCUUCCAAUGAGUCACAAUCAGAAAUAUCCAAAUCAAUUAAAUCCAACUUUUCAAGUCCCCAAAGCUAAGGAGGUUUCUUGCUGUCUCAAACUCUUAGAGAUCCUAACUUCUCACAUCCCAUCAAAUCUGGAAAGUCUCUAUUGAUUUGCAUCCUGUAAAAUCCAAGUCUUCUAAGAACUUCGCACCAUCAAGACCUUGAAUUUCGACUAUAUUGUCGCACCCGACAGCCACUAAUUUCUUCAGAGACCGUGAUUCUGGACAGAGAAGCCUUUUAAUGGAAUUGCAAUCAUAUAUAAAUAUGACCUCCAAGAAUGCCAAAUUAUCAUGCCCUGAAUUUCAACUAGGCUAUUGCAAUGCUCAGCAUGCAAUCAUUUCAGACGAAUCAAUUGUGAAAGGUUCAAUCUUUCAAUGGAACUACAUUUUUCUAUGGAAAAUCUCGAGGGAAGGCAACUCACCAAUUUCACUUUUCAGACAACAGCACAAUGAGAUACGUAGAGUCUGCAGAUUUUUCAGCCUUCCAAUCGCAUUGGGAAGCUUUUCGAUCGCAAAAAAACUCAAAUGAAGAUGUUGCAAAUUCUGUAAAUGCCCAAUUGAGCUAGGGAUUUCUCUCAGAGACUCACAACCAUAAGCGCUCGAUUUCUUCAACUUCCUCAGAGAACCAAUAGACGUGUUCAUGGUCAUCAAGAGAGAAAAAAAAUCCUUCCCAUCCGAGAAAGGGGAGAGGUUGAGAGAGAGAUAGAGAGAGAGAGAGAGGGGGGGGGGGAGAGAGAGAGAGAGAGAUUGAGGACACGGAUGGACCCGUGGUCGCCGAGCUACCAGUCCCAUGGAGUUGGCCAGAGUCUAGAGAUCAUGACGAUUCAAACUCUUAACCAAAACCAGAUGUACUUAGCCAAAUCCCGGCCUCGCAUGCUCGAACACGCUUCACCCCCGCACAGACUAGACAACGUGAAGGAGUCGGCGAUAAAAGCAUCGUGGUGGAAUGAUCCAGAGAAGAAGAGGAAGAGGAGGGUGGCCAGAUACAAGCUUUAUUCGGUCGAAGGCAAGUUCAAGGCUUCUUUCAAAUAAGGGUUCCGAUGGUUGAAGCGCAAAUGCUCGACCUUCGCACGUCGAUUCUAAUUAGCAUAAAUUAAGGAAUACCGUGUCCAUCGUCAUCAAGAGAGAAAAAUGGUGAGAAAGAGGAAACAGAGAGAUUUGCUGUGCUAUUUGGGUGUUCAUCUUUAUAUGUAUCUAAUGGUGAUCAAAUAUUCAGAAGGGUGCCGCUAAUGUUCAAUCUUUCUGAUAUAAUGUUCAUCUGACUCAUUGUUUCAUUCAUCGAUCUCCAACAUUCAAAACAUAGGCAAAUGAGACAACUCGUACGUGAUAGUAAUAUAUAUUUAUAUUUGCCAAUUUUUCUUUUUCUUUUCUGAAUUUUCUUACCUUCUAAUACAUUUGUAACAGGAUUUUGCAUCCAUGCCCAUGCAAAUUAGAAUUGUCUGAUUUGUUCAAUUCUCCUCUUUUCUGUAAGCUCUUUUCCUUAUAAAUGUGAUGCUGAUUGCAAAACCAGAUGGAUACUUGUAUUUGUAGGAUUGACAUUACCAUCUAUUUUGUGGUCGAUUUUGUUGGGUACGAUUUUGUUUUGGCCGAAUGUUGUCUACGCCUUGUUUCUGGGGUUCUUUAACCCCCCCUAAUUUCCUCAAUUUGUCUAGUUCGAUUCCUCUUCGUUGUACAAUUCAUCAUAUGGCAACAUAUAUUGCUGUAGUAGAUAUUCUAAAAUGACAUGCACCGGUGCUAAACAAAACGAAAGGCUUUCGAUGGUUCCAUUUUGAUUUGAGGACAAUUUUUCAUAUUUCGAAUGCCGUCCCAUUGAGACUGGAGUUACGAAAAUGUGGAAAACUGAAAAGCCCAAAGGGAACCCUCUUUAAUUCUAUCAAAACUUGCGUAGUUAAUGUUCAAAUGGUCGUAAUUUAUAGGAUCUUGAUGUAAUAUGUGAUAUAACUUUCAAAAACAAGGUGAAAACGAAGGAGAAGGAGAGUAUGAAAACCCAUGAGCAGAACCGAACUGAUUCACCAGGUUUAACACCUUCAUCCAGUUAUCCAGUCGAUUCACAGUUUUCAAAUUUUAAAUCAAUUCAGCCGAUAAGGUUGUGACUAAAAUCCUAAAAGUAGUCAAAACACAUAGCCAUUGCCCUUUAGAAUAAUGGCUUAGACAAUGGUUAAGCAACUUAGCAAAUAAACUGUAGACUCAACACAUCGACUUUACUUGUGAUUUUUCUUGUGAAAUGUUCAAUCGAUAUUCUGAAAUUUAAUUAUUUCACAUUAAGUAUGUUUAACAAGUAUUUCAACACGACCCACACUAUAUUUGUGUUAAUAAUUAUAGAUUCGAACUUGGCUUAAAAAGCUACCUGGCCUUACAAGCUACUUGGCCUUGUAUUGAGCUCCGGAAAUAUUGAGUUUCAGUUCAAGUAGACAAGCAGCGAAUCAGACAGAGUACCUUGCCAGUAGCUUUCAGCCUUUCGACUACUAAAAUUCCACCAUUGUCAUCUAGUACAAGGGUACAGGAGUAUCAAAGAGUGACCUCAAAGAAAUUGCUUCGAUUGAGGCUUCAAUGCGUGACUGGUUAACACAAUUUGGUUUAGUAGAGUCUGAUUAUUAACCAAUAAGAUGACCCUUUUAAAGUUUUUUGUUCAAACCAAAUGAGUAAAUUUUGGGAAUGGCCUUUUCACCCUUCCAAAAAUUUCCCACAUUUUUCAAUAGUCUUCAAUCAUAGCCUACGCCAGAGAAAAAUAGGUUUCAGAUAUGAAAAUGUACAUGGAUGUGGCUCUUCUGCUUUUAGAUUCAUGCUUAAAUAAAUCAAGCUUGAGAUUAUACGAUCAAAACGAUUGCAAAAUGCCUACAUAUGAUUUUUCAAUGUAACCAGACUAGGAAGAUGAUUUUACACUGAUGAGUGCUUUAUUUCGUGUUCAAAAUUCUUUCAAAUGAGAAAACUACUGUCUUCUUGGAAACAUUAUCGUUGAAACUCUUAACUGCAAUUGACAAAUUAUUUGCUAAUUCCAUGGCAUUCGCUUUUUCCACAAAAAGAAUCUCUCCGCCACAAAAUUAUAGCUUGAAGUGGACAUCUAACUGGUAAUCUUGUUAGCAAAACUCAUUUUAUGCUUAACCUGCAAAUGCAUUCUUCCAGCAAGCAAUUUGUGAUUCGGCCUUCGCUAAAGGAUAGCACGAUGUCAAAGCUCGCCAAGGCCUAAUGCACCAUAUGAGAAGAGGUCACCUCACAUCCAGAAUCCUUUGAAGAGUACUAACAACACAAACACCAACAGGAUAGAACUUCGGGAUGACUUUCCAUAAUGACAAAGCUCAUUCCUGCUCGCAUCUCCAUCCCAUGGUAUUUGGGGACUUUCUCCGAGUUAAAUAAAUUGCAGCUUGAAUCUACACAAGACGAAUAGCACUGACUAUAAUCAUCAGUAAUGAAAAAAACCAAGAUAUGUAGCAUCACAAUUUACCCCAUCAAAGAUAAGGUACAAAUGCAUAAACAUCAUUUCCACCAGUUGGACCACAAUGACAGACGCUUCAUUAGCUGGCUGAUGAAAUAGAAAACAACAGACUUGGAGAAGUAAGCAAUUAGCAAUACUUCCCUUGUUUGAGUUUAGGAACAGAAUUGAUGCUAACGGAAUGAUGCUGAAAAGGUGUGAGUGCCUAAACUACAUAACAGAGAGAUGUAUCUGUUACUUGGGUAUUUCACAAUAUCCUAUUAACAAAAUCAGCAAUACCGGAUAGUUUGCAAGGAGGUCAAUUUCAACUUUACAAUUCCAAUGCCGCAUACACAUGAGAGAUGAGCCUAUCAAAUCAAAAACCUACAUGAGAAUAUUUACGAGAUAUUAUCACACUAAUAAACUGAUAGAAAUGAAGGAGAUUGUCAUCAUGCAUACUUGCGUACUAAUUUCAGGUGAAAUUACAUAGCUCAUAUAUUCUAAGCACACAAGUAAGUCUUUCAUAGUACAACUAACACUGCAUAUCUCUCCCUUCAGAGCCUCAGCGAGUUGAGGAGUGAUAUAUUUAGAAUGCAACUUUAUCAAACAACUCUGCAACAGGGUAACAUACAAAAAGUCAGCAGCUACGUGUUUGAUUAACGGAGAGAUAGAACCUAAUGAGCAUACAAAAAGCAUAUUUAAUUGAAAAAUAUACAUUUACAAUCGUUCAGGUAAGUACUGUUGACAUGAUCAAGUGUUCGGAUAUUCACAAGCAUCAAAACUUCCUCAGGACACUCCAGUUGGCCCCAGAGCGUCUUCAAGGUUGGCACAGAAAAUGGUCCUCAGCUGUUGUUAUGGAAUUGAAGUUCCUCAGCCAAGUUAGAACUAGUAAUCAUGUUAACAAAUCUCAUUUUAUGCUUCAAUUCACAUAUAGAACCUCACAUGCAGUCUUCCUGAAAGUGAUUUGUCAUUCAGCCUUUGCCAAAGGAGAGGACAAUUGCAAAGGUUGCACAGGACUAAAACACCACAUGAGAAGAGGUCGCUUUAUAUCAAGAAUCCUUUGAAGAGUAUUAACAACACGGAACACAUGAUAAACGCCAUUAGCAAGGAACUUCAAGAUGCAUUUCCAUAAUGACAUAGCUCAUUCCUGCAGUAUUUUGGGACUUUCUCCGGGUUUCAUGGAAUGCAGCUUCAAUCUACACACGGAAGAUAGCACUGACUAAUUAUCAAUAAAUGAAGAUAUCCAAGAUCCUAGCAUCACAAUUUACACCAUGAGAGAUAAGGUACAGUUGCAUAAACAUCAUUGACACCAAUUGCAGUUGGACGACAAUGAACAGAGACUUCAUUAGCUGGCUGAUGGAAAAGAAACCAACAGGCUCAAAAGAAGUAAGCAAUUAACAACACUUUCCCUGUUUGUGUUAGGAACAGAAUUGAAGUUAAUAAAAUUAUGUUGAAAAGGUGAAGUGCCUAAACUAUAGAACAGAAAGAUGUAUUUGCUACUUGGUUAUUUUGCAAGAUCCAAUUAGCAAAAUCAGCAAUACAUGAUUGCUUGUGAGGAGGUCAAUUUCAUCAUGCAUACUUUUGGCCUAAUUUCAAGUGAAAUUCCACAGCUCAUAGAGUAUCGGCACACAAGUUAGUCUUUCAUGGUACAACUAGCAGUGCAUACUUCCCCCUUCAGAGCCUCGUCAAGUUCAGGAGUGAUAUCAUUAGAAUGCAACUGUAUCAAGCAACUCUGCAUCAGGGUAACAUAUAAAAAGUCAAAAGCUAUGUGUUUGAUUAAUGGAGAGGUAGAACCUAAUGAGCAUACAUAAAGCCUAUUUAAUUAAAAUAAGUACAUUUACAAUCGUUCAGGUAUGUGUUGUUGAGACAAGAUCAAAUGUUUGAGCAUUCACACAAAUCAAACUUUCCUUUGGACACUCCAGUUGCCCCUAAAACGUCUUCAAGGUUGGCACACAAGAUGGUCCUCAGCUGUUGCUGAUGCUUCCUCCGCAAAAUCCAUUUUCUUCAUUUUGAUUGGUCUCAAGUAUGGAAUUUGAAGUUCCUCAGCCAAGCUAGCCACACCCAAAUUAGAUGAUGAAACAAUUCCAUGGCAGCAAUAGGAUCAAAUGCGAUGCAAACCAAUUAUCAAAUUCUUGAGCCCCUCAUCCCACCUUGUUUCACAGACCAGGCAAAAAUUGUCUAAUUAUGCAAAAGGUCAUCGACACGGUUGAUUGAAUUGAAGUCCCAAAGUAAUUCUUGAUCAUCGCAUAGACCAACCAAACCUGUCAUAGAAGCAGCACAAGUUUACCUUGCUUGAUAAUAUUUCAAAACAACAGUAUGACUACUGGUAAUGUUAAGGGGGUCUACAUUCAUAUAUGACAGACUAGCCAAAACAACUUUCAACAUUUUCUUUAUCACCAAACAGAAACACUUGAACCUUGAAUUUUAUUUUAUCUCAGUUCAUCAUAUUCUGAGAAGCGAUGCUCUUCUUAGAAGGUUAAUGAGGGACAUCAAGAGAACAAUAAGAAACUUGACGGGGGUUUCGUUCAUCACAGAAAAUCAAAACGUGUUUGUCCCAAUCAUGAUAUCUGCCAUUAAUCAAAUUUGACAUACAAAAGAACUUACAAAGGAACUCAAAAUGGCCAAGGAUUUUUUUCAAAGAAAAUAUGAACAUUGGACAUUGGGAAAUUCUGGGUGUAGUAUACAAUAAUGAGUAGUAGAAGUUCAUCAGCCUCUAGAUGGAAAUGUUAAUUAUAUGUUUGUAAUCUACAGAAGCUGGCAACAGAAGAAUAAACAAAAAACAUUGCUAUAAUGUAAUCAACAGCAAUUAUACAGAGGCAAAUCCGGAGUUUCCAAAUCAAUCAAAUAGAUAUCCAUUGUAGAGCAAAUCAUUCUAAAAAUUUCUUUUUUCGCUUAUACCGGCAUUUCAAGGAUGAAGAAUCUUACUAUGCCUUCUAUUGGGUCUACAUUUUGAUCUUGGCUGAAACAUCACGUCAGCUUCUGGCCAACUCCCCCACUCCUUCAAUUAUGUAAGACUAGCAAUUUAGACCCUGUCAUGGAAAGCCUUCUUGUCAGAAGAAGAUGGUGAUGUAAAGUUGGUCCUGGAUCUCAGAAGAAAUAUGAUUGUUCAUUGCUUAUUUACCUUUGUUGAAGAAACAUUACUCCUCACUGUUGUAAUAUGGGUGUAAAAUUUAUUACAUCAUUAUCACCACAAGAUAAUGUUUCCAAAGAGAACUAAAACAAAAACUAGGGAUGUCAUUCAUAAUUGAUGUUGACGUGCGUUUCAGAUAAGUUAGGUAUUGCUUCCAAUGAGUCACAACUAGAAAUAUUCAAAGAAAUUAAAUUCAACAUUUCAAGUCCCCGAAGCUGAGCAAGUUUCUUGCAGUCUUGAACCAUUAGAAAUCGUAGCUUCUCAAAUCCUGUCAAAUCUGGCAAAGCCUCUAUUGAUUUGCAUCCUGUAAGAUCCAACGUUCCUAAGAACUUCGCACCGUCAAGACCUUGAAUUUCAACUAGAUUGCUGCACCCAGAAGCCUUGAAUGUCUUCAAAUGCUUGCAUUCAUAUAAACAUAAUGCUUCCAAUGAGUCACAACCAGAAAUAUCCAAAUAAGUUAAAUCCAACGUUUCAAAUCCCCGAAGCUGAGUAAGUUUCUUGCAGUCUCGAACCAUUAGAGAUCGUAGCUUCUCAAAUCCUGUCAAAUCUGGCGAAGUCUCUAUUGAUUUGCAUCCUGUAAAAUGCAACUCUUCUAAGAACGUCACACCGUCAGGACCUUGAAUUUCAACUAGAUUGGGACACAUCCAUUCACAUAAUAAUAAGUUAGGUUUUGCUCGCAAUGAGUCACAACCAGAAAUAUUCAAAUAAGUUAAAUUCAACAUUUCAAGUCCCCGAAGGUGAGCAAGUUUCUUGCAAUCUUGAACUAUUAGAGAUCGUAACUUCUCACAUCCCGUCAAGUCUGGCAAAGUCUCCAUUGAUUUGCAUCCUGUAAAAUCCAACUCUUCUAAGGAAUUUGCACCGUCAAGACCUUGAAUUUCAAUUAGAUUGCCGCACCCAGAAGCCUUGAAUUUCUUCAAAUGCUUGCAAAAAUAUAUAAAUAUGACCUCCAAGGACUCCAAAUUAUCACAGCCCUCAAUUUCAACUAGGCUAUCGCAAUGCUCAAUGCGUAAUCGUUUCAGAUGAAUAAAUCGUGAAAGGCUCAAUGUUUUAAUGGAACUGCACUUUUUUAUUGAAAGCUCUUCCAAGUGCAUGAGUCCGCUGAGCGAAAGUGAUGUCAGCUUAUCCCACUCCUCAAAACAGAGUUUCAAUGUUAUUGAGGAAAGCUCGCGGAUGUCUUCAAGUAAAUGGCAUACCUCAAGAUCGAGUUUUUCUAGGUGGAUGAGGCAAAGGAGCUGUGGCAGUCCAAGACUCUGACAAGUAACCGAUAGACAUGUUAAGCCCGAAGGAAGCUCUGGCAGCAACCGGAGCUUGUAACAGCCCUUUAGGUCAAGGCUUCGGAGAGAAGAAGGAAGCGCUGGCAACGAUCGGAGCUCCUUACAGUGCCAUAGGUAAAGGCUUUGGAGAGAAGAAAGAUUACGGACGCUUUCUGGCAGGUCAGAUAUCAGUGUCUUAGAGAGAUCGAGAAUCUUAAGGGAAGGCAAGUCACCGAUUUCACUUGGAAUUGCCCCUUUCAGACUACUGCACCAGAUGAGAUGUAGAAACUGCAGAUUUUUCAACCCUCCAAUAGCAUUGGGAAGCUUUUCGAUCGCAGAACUAUGCAAGUUAAGGUAUUGCAAAUUCUGUAAAUCACCAAUUGAGCUGGGGAUUUCUCUCAGUGACUCACACGAGGUGGCACUCAGUGUCUUCAAUUUCCUCAAAGAACCAAUAGACAAAGGAAUUGUUGUAAUACCAGAUUCAUCUAAAAUAAGUUCUUCUAAAUCUUUUAAUCCACCCACCUCCUCUGGUAGCUCCUUGAGACCACUGCAGCAAUGCAAGUCCAAGGUAACGAGACUUGUGAGUUUGCCAAUAGAAGGGUGGAGAUGCUCCAAUCCAUCACAAUCGCUCAAUAGGAGAAUUUUCAAUUGCGUGAAAGCUGAGAGUUCAGGAGUACAUCUUGAAUUAGGAAAACCUCCAACGCAGAGAACUUUAAGCUGCUUUGACGCCUAAUACAAAAGGAGAAUAAUCCGUCAAAUGAGGAGUUGAUUGGCUAAACAAAAAAACAAACCUCAAGAUCGCAGAGAGGAUGUAUUCUUUUCCCAAUCUUACCUUGAAUGAAUUCCAUCCUUCCCAAUUCUCUGUGAUUCCUUCCCGAUCCGUCCAUAAGUGCAGCACCGAUAAUUUUGGCAAAUGAAAGUUGAUCGUCGAAAGAGACGCAUCGUUUCUACGAACGCCCCACUGAAGCCAUCUCACUUCAGAAAACUUGGAAUCUCCGCUAGAAGCUGCCCCCAAAAAGUCGUGGAACCAGGGGCGUCUCUGCAAGUUUUUUCACUUUUCAGUUUUUGCUUUUUUUAAAUCUUGAAUUUGCACGAUUACCUUUUUAUCCUUCCCCUGUACAUGUAUGGAUAUGUAAACUCACAUUUAUUUCUUCUUUUUUUACGACCUUUUGAAAGUUAAACAAAUGACGCAAAGAUAAAGAAAAAAAUAAUUAUUGCUUUAAAACAACCGAGGCAAAUGCACCUCAAUGUUUUAUCUCUUGCUUCUUCUUCUUUUUCAAAAUUUUGUAGCGCAUGGAUUUUCACUUUCAUUUAAGAAGAAAUACAUAAAACUAGUUUACAACGUACAAAUGUUUACUUGUAAAUUUUUAAAUGACUUAUAAUUUUUAAAAGAAUUUGUUAAAGAGUGUCGACGGGCCACCUGUAAGUAGCUAAGGAAGCACCCUAUUUUCAUUUCAUUAGUUAAAUGUAAUAAUGUGGAAGAGAAAAAAAAAAGGGAAUUUUUAAUAUAUUCAGAAAUAUAGAAAAGUUUAUGUGGAGGGAAAUUAAAAGAAAUCAAAUAUGAUAUGCAUUAUCAAAAUAGAUAUAGAAAAUUAAAAGAAAUAUCCUUUUAUCUCUAGAAGGUAUCUAAAUAUCUUUAACGUCAUUAACUAUUUGCAUGGAGUGUUUACUCAUUUCUUUGACAAUCGAAACAUUUUUUUUUUGGGUAAAGUUUGUUUAAAAAGUGACGUGGCGACAUUGGUUAGUAGUUUUGACCAGGAUUGAAAAAAAUAAGUCGCUUUCAGAAUAACUAGAAAAUGAACCGAUUAACGAAAAAGUGGUGGUAUCAUUGUUUAAUCAUCAUAUGUUGGUUUCCAUAAGAAUAGCAUCGUUUCUUUUUCCAUCUUAUAAAUCAAAAAACAUACUAUUUAACUUUCCUGCUAAAACAGAUAAUUUAAUUAGUUGCAGACGGUGAAAGAAAUUUCCUUAUGGCUUUAUUUGACUUUUAUAAUAAUGCCUAUAUUUUCCCCCAAAAGUUUAAUUGGUUAGAAAUUCACUUUUAUGGUUAGACAUGUUUGUCGUUAUAUCUGCUUUAAAUAUUAACCAGUGAAAUGCAAUGGGUAUAAAUUCUCUUAAGUCUAUUUGUCUGAAAGUCACUAAAUUGUUGUAAUCACCAUCCCACACUAUCUUUAAUAAUUUUCGCUCGUACAUCAAUCUAUACUAUGUAUUACAUUAAAAAAAUCUAUUGUAUGGAAAGAGGAUUUCAAACCUCAAACUUUCGUCAAAAGUUUCCACACAAUUCGCAUAUAUUUCACCAAAAUGAACUAAAGAAAUAGGAUAUAACAAAAUAGAAAUAAUCAUAUUUGAAAUAGUCAAUUGGAAAUUAGUCCCACAAGUAUUUCAAUUUCCAAAGUUAAAUCAAAAUCUCUCGAAUCGUACAAUAAUUUCAUUUUUUUCGUCAUCUUUCAGCAUUUUUAUCCAUUCAAAACAGAAUUGACUUUUCUUUUUCAUUUUUCCGAACACCUAAAUGGUGUGCUCUUUUUGCUAAUGUUAAGAAGUUAUUGGAUCCACAAAAGAGACUGAUAUUAAAUCAUAGGAACGAACUAUUUCAAAUUAUAUCAAGAAUAUAAAGCUGCUUUGUUUGCCCAACAUCUCUUGGUCAAUUUAUAGGGUUAAUUCCUUGCCAUUGAUCAGCCAUGAGCCUGUGAAGCUUUUCAGAUGGACAAUAUUUAAUAAAAUGACAUGAACAUUGAUAAUUUAAGUAAAAGAUAAAACAUAUUUGAGAAAAUUGGCUUCAUGCUGAAAAUCAUAUAUGGUGAAUACAAGGUUAUGGAUAUAAUAAUAAGCAUGACAUUUCCUCCGAUUAAUCAAUUUUUCUUUUUUUAAUUUAAAAUAGUCAAGUUAGUGUAGCGAAUUCUCGCACAAAAGAGGCAUUGUCCCAAAAAAUAUAAAUAAUAUUAAACAACUUAUAGAGGAUAGAAAUGUCUGUCAUAAGGAAAUCCACUCUUUCUUAUACACCUAGACCUUACCUAAUCCAUGAAAUGAGCAAGGUCAAUGCGAUACAUCCUUAAAAAACAGUAAGAUUUUCUUGUAUAUAUUUUUAAGGAGAUUUUUGCUAUCUAUUAAGAGGAAAUAAGAAUGAAAACAGAUAGAUCUGGGACGGUAUCUUCCAAAUCAAAAUGGAGAAAAAAAAAUAUCAAACAUUCGAUUCCUAAAUCACGAGAGCACCACAAUACAUUCGGCCGUAAUAGAAAGCAAACAUAUGUGAUACGCGUGAAAUUUUUUUCCAAUCUUAUUUUUGAAUUAAUUAUUGGUUAUUAUACUAUCCUUUCUUUUUUAACCAGGAAAUCUUCACUUAUUUGAUCUUAAUGUUUAUACUUCAUCUUCAUUCAUAAUUAUAGUCCUUCUAGUUAUCAAUAUUUUCAAAUAGUUAUGACAAUUGCAUGCUUUAAGUAAAUGAGAUUUAUAGUCUAAAAUUGUAGUUAAAGGAUCUUAAAUUAAUUGUCAAUUAAAUUUUUACAUAUGUAAUGCAUAACAAUGAAAUUGAAUCAAUGAUAUUACUUUUUCAUCCCUGAGAUACUUGCGAUUUAUUUAGUGUCACGGUUAAUCUACAAUGGACAAAUGGAUGUUUAAAUAUAUUUUUUUCCUAGAAAGUAAGAGCAUCAUUUCCCGCUCAAUGAAAUAUUAGAAUAGAUCAUAUUAAAUUGAUUAAAAUAAGAGGGAGAGAAAAAGAAAAGAGUGCCAUAUUUUACCUCUAGAUAUCUUAGUACUCUUGGGACUCCCUCAUAGUCAUUGUCCCAUGGUCCACUAUGUUUCUCAAGCGAUUGUCCUUGGCAAAAAAUGCUCCUUCCAAGAUCUCUCAGUUGAUCAUGCACCAUGAACUCACCAUGAUCUCCAAUUUUAAUUAAGCAUCUCAACUUCAACUCUUCAAUUCCUUGACUUGGAUAAAACCCACAGUCCUCCCACAUGUAAAUGGCGUAUUUGCUCAUUCCUCCAAUAAAGAAACAAACAAUGUCGAGAAAAAUCUGUUUUUGUCCAUCUUCUAAUGCAUCAUAACUUAUUUGCAAUAUCUUUUGGACAUCUCUAUGUGGUUGGUUUUUUAACUGCUUCUUCACAUCUUCCCAUACUUUUCGAUCCAUUUUUUUAUACAAGUAAGAACCUACAACCUGAAGAGCCAAGGGAAGCCCACCCAUGGUGGAUACAAUAUCACCAGAUAUACCUUCAAAGUCCCUUGGAUAAUGGUCCUUACGAAAUGCAUGUUUGUUAAACAAAAGCCAAGCAUGCAUCAUAUCCAAUUCAUUUAGUUUAUACUUGUAGUCUACCUCAAAUUCAGAUUGAUCAAGAAUAGCUUCAUUCCUAGUAGUAACAAUGAUCAAACUUCCUGCCAUAAACCAAUCACGUUUCUUAGCCAAUGCAUCAAGAUGAUUCUUAUCAUCUAUAUCAUCUAGAAGAACGAGAACCUUUUUUCCUCUGAAUCUAGAUUUGAUUAUAUUAAUUCCAUCAUCAAUUCUAGACACUUCAUUUUUGCUUUGUAGUAUAUCCGAUAUUAGUUGACUCUGUAAAUAUGUAAUCCCCUUUUGUCUAAUAGUUUCUCGAACAUCUGGAAGGAAGCUGGAGUGCACAAAUUUAUUCAAGAGUUGAUUGUAGAUGCACUUGGCAAGAGUUGUCUUGCCUAUCCCGCCCAUGCCAUAAAUUCCAAUCAUUCGAGCAUUCAUGGAAGGACUGCCUAUCCAAUUCAUAAUUUCCUUCAUACGACCAUCAAGUCCAACUAGUUGUUGAGGCACAUCUAGCUGAAAAUCUUCCUGUAACUUCCUUAUAAUAGUUUCAACCACACGCUCAACCAAUUCUCCUUCAUGCCUGUCAAACAACAAAAACAAUGAAAGAUUAUGAACCUAGACAUAGUCUUUGCGAAGCAUUCGAUCCUUGUCAACUUAGCUAAUCCUUGUUGGCUAUAGGAGGUCAAUUUUAUCCAGUGGUGAUCAAGCUUCAAAAGACUGUGCAUUGGAGUCCUUUGUACACCUAUUGUUUAGUGAUUGAUACUAUUAGCUAGAGGUAUUGUCGUUUCUAUGUUUUUUUUUUUUUUUUUGGCUCUAUACCAGAGGAAAAUAUAAAAUUCUUGGGCACUAUGGAAAGCUUUGGUUUUAGUUGUCGUUGAUUUGGUUUUCAGAGACAUCUUGGGGAGUAAUGGUGUUUGUUGUCUUCGAGGCAUUAUGGUUGUUUAUUGGGACAUUUUGGGGAUCUGUUCAGAGCUGCAGUGAAUCAAUUCAUUUGCAUCUCAUCGGUUCUGCAAGAAGAAGAAAACUUAUCAAAAAAAGAAAAGUUAUAUGAAGUACCCGUUGGCAAAUUUCUCAGAUUCCCAUCCAUGUAAGAAACUGACUUCAUUAAGUGCCCGCUGCACUUCCAGGAUAUCCUUCUCAUUAAGAUGCUUCUUACUUGAAUGGAAGGCAUCCCCAAAACUCCCUUUUAGAUACCGCACAUCCGAUGGCUUCACUUCGUAAAAAAUUGGCAACACUAUGUGUGACAUGCUAUUCUUACAAGCUGUCAUAUAAAUAAGCUCACGGAGGCACCAUUUGCUCGUAGCAUAAUUUUUGGAGAUGAUGGGGAUCGAAAUCUUAGAUCGUGAGAUGGCACUGAGAAUUUGUGAACCAAAUUCCUCACCAAUUGGGAUGCUGUUAUCGUCCUUGAACACGGAAAUAGGUACAAUCCCUGUGUUGACCAGUCUAUGGUAGAGGUGAUCGGUGAAUUUCUUUCGAGUAUCUAAUCCUCUAAAGCUCAAGAAUACGUCAUAUUGAUCACCACCUUGUGUUGUGGGUACCAGAGAGAUGAACGAAGAAGUGGAUGCUCCCUCGGUGCUCUCUUCCUCUACUCUCUUUCGCUUUCCCUGACUUUGCUCUCCGUCCAUGGUGAUCUGAGAGGGGAAGUUGAAAUGAAAGAUGCUUUUUCCACUGCUUAAAAGGAUUGAUGAACAACAAGACACUUUUAGGAUGCUUUUCUGCAAAUGCUCGCUGGCUUGGUCCACUCCAAAUAACGUGGAUGUGAAUUUCUUCCCUAGGCAAUGCUGAAGGAGGUUCGUAUUCUUGAGAAAGAGAUUUUGAUGACACGGCCCUCAGUUAAGUAAGCUGACGUCAUUUCACUGUGGAAGAUUAGGUGGCCCUAAAGAGGCCUUCGAAAAGCCCACAUCAUUUACUUGUUUAGAAACACAAUUGAAACUUGAAACACAUAUUGAUAUUAAAACUCAUAUUUAAACAGAUUGAAGUGUAAAUAAUCGACUUUCUUAAAGCACAUUUGAACAACUACAUAACUUCAUGCACGUCUAAAAUAUUUAAAGACUGAUUUUUUCGGUUCACACCUAAGAUAUUGAAACUAUGUAGGAAACACUAUGGAAGCAUCUUCCUCUGACUAUAAGCUCACACGAUGCCUAAUUGUUGUCAUUAUAUUUGACCUUACUCUUAUUAUUUUUGGCCUAAUGAUAAACAACCCUGACUGUGUCCCCAACCUCAUUAUCACAACCCCUUCUAUGUCUAAUCCCAUUUCCAUUGGCCAAACUAAUGUAGUGUCACGUAAUUGUUGCCCAAUAACCUCAUCCUCUAGAUGUGUGCACUUUUCUACUCGCGAUUUUAAUUUUGCAGGGUUCAAGUUUAAGGCAUCGCUCAUAUGUAAAAUUAACUAAAGCUAAAAUAUUAAUCCUGGAAAAAUUUUCAAUUGCCCAGUUGCUUAAAUUGUGAAGGAAGUCGAUGAAAAUGAUUCUAAAUGAAAGACAACUAAUUCCUUUUGGGCCCACGUUUUCUUUUUCCCUUUCUAGAAGUGCAUAGAAAUUAGGAAAUGUAAAAGUUGCACUUUUCUUCCAAAAUUGCCCUUGCUUCCUUUGUUAAGGAUGAAUAAAUGAAGGAUAAUCAAGUCUAUCAAUGAAAUUAAGUUCCAUUUACAUCAUUUCCACCCAACAUGUAUACGAACAUAUUUCAAGGAAUUUUAACCUUCCCUCUCAUGGUCUGCCUGUUUUUUCAUCCUUCUUUUUUAAAAAUUUUAAAAUUUAUGGCUUUAGUAUGCUCAAAAUUGGGCCUUUUGUGGGAUAAAAAUUUAUGGCUCUGAAAUAAGAUUAAUAUUAAUACAAAAGGCUGCGUCCCACUUGUAGUUAGAAUACUGCGGGAAGCAAUUUUGCUUUUUUCUUUAGAUGUGAUGCAAUACGUUGCAUCUUUUUGCAUGUAUACAAAUUAGCAUAUCAGACGGUGUCAUGUUGACAUUUCAUAUGGUGAAACGUUUAAUAUUUGCAUUUGUUGUGUCGUGUCAUCUGACCCGCUUUAUUAAAAGAGUCAUGUUCAUAUCGUGGCGGUUCAUCGCAUUUACUAAACAUUUCUUGUUCAGCUUUUGUCAUAUUCAUAUUAUAUCCUACUUCAACAUGAUACGACAAAAAUCCUCAGCUAUAUCUUUAAACACAUGACCGCUCACAAAACCAAUGGAAAAUAAAUAAAAAGAAUGUCCAAAGUCUCUGAAUUUUUGUGGUAUUUAAGGACCGCUCAACGAAACUUAUACUUGAUUUUUUUCCGAACAAAAAAAAAAAGAAUUGCUAAAAGUGAACAAGUCUCUCGGCCUUUGUUCUCGGAUCAGGGUACUCUCCCUCCUGCUUAACUUCAAUCAAUCUUAGACCUCUUUGUUCUCUCUGCUUGUGUUUUGGUUCAAAUUCGGUGAUUUCAUAUUUUCAUCUUAUUUAAAAUUGCUAUAUUCUUAAUGAAGUUGUAAAUGUGAGGUAGACAUCAAUUUAAUGUUAUUUAAAUUAUCGAUUGAUAUAUUGUCUACAAAAUAGAGCUACAAUUUCUUAAAUGACAUCCAAUGAGCAUGACAAGUUAAAAUCAAGUUACUAAUGAUAUAUGAAAUACUUGUACACUGUCAUUUCUUUUAUUAAAAUUUUGUUGGCAUAUUAUUCAGCUCUUGAAAAAUCAGUAGACGAAUGAAAAAAGAAGUGUGCGAAAUAUUUUUUUUUAAAAAAGAAAAAGAUAAUUUCGGAGAAAGCAUAAAAAAGAAGGGAAUGAAGUGUCAAAUGAAAUCUCCUUUGACUGAAGACUUACUCUUAGGAUGAUUGGUUUCAAGAUGAUUAGGUUCUAAGCUAAGAAUUAGGAAUUUAUACAAUAAUAAUCGGUUCUCCAUUUUUGUAUCCGAGAACCAAACUAGCUGACCCCAAACUGGCUGACUUUUAUUUUUCUGAUUUAUUUUUCUAUGAAUUGAUCUAGGACCUUCAAACACAGAGAAACCUCACAACGCAUUAAAAAAAAAAAAAAAUCUCUGGAUUCAAGCAAAAUAUGGAAAUUUUGCGCGCAAUAGAUUCUGGCGCACUUGCAGAUCUACUCAUUCUAGUUCAACAAAAGAUUAAUACUGAAUUGCAAUGCAACUAACAAUCUGACAACAAGGCCAUCAUGGCAUUAGCCACAUCUAAAGUUGAAAACAAAGGAUUUCUUUUUUCACCGAAGUCAAAUCUGAGCGGGGGGACACCCCUCGUCAACAGGCAGCAGCGACUCCAAAGAAAGAAUAAAAGACCCUCCUCAGCUAUUCAGCAGCCACCCCACAUCGCCAAUAGACAAAAAGGGCCCAAAGCACACUAGUUCAGCCCAUCAUUAUUCCAAUAACAAAGCAGCGGAUCAAUAGAAACGACAUGCUAAUUAGACAUGAAAAAGCAAUUACCUCCCGCGAGCCGAGACGCAAAGAGAGGUGCGAGAUCAGAGAGAGGAGACCCUAAACAAGCCUAGUUGAGAACUUUCGAGAGGGAAAAGAUCAAAGAAAGCGAAUGAGGACGAUAGUUUUGAAUUGUUCUGCAAAAGAGAGACCGAACAUGAGAAUGAGAGAGAGAGAGCACAAUUUGGACCAGAGUUCAGAAUGACCAAUUCUGUUCAUAUCUACUUAUAAACCAUUUUGUUAAACAGAUGAAUGUGGCUCUUGCUAAUUUUUCAUUAUGAUAUUAUCAAAGACGUACUUCCUCCUGUAAAUGCUACGUUCUCUCCCACCCUAAACGUGCAUUAAUCAUAUUGUCAAAUUUAUAGUAGGUCAGUAACUUUCUAUGCUAUAUAUACGUAAAAGUCACGUAUUUGCUGUAAGCAAUUAAACUACAUGAAAACCACACUUUGUGAUGAGUUUAUCUAAUUCAAUCUGCUAAGACACAGUCCACCUAAAAAUUGUCCACAUAUUAAAUAUGUGUAAGUGCAUUGAAACCAGCAGCUUUGCUUAAUUUCAAGUUUUCUAUGGUAACCAACACGGGAAAAAAAAAUAGUACAAUUGUGUAUAAUUUUUGGAAAACAUUUGAAUUUUCUGUCAUUUUCCAGAAAUUACGAAAAUUGACAAUAUAAUGGAAAAUAGCUUUAUGGACAUUAAAAAAUUCUCUAGUUAAUUUGAUCUGUUCAGAUAAUUUUUUGUUGUUGACAAUUCUGAUCCGUAGCCUUUGAAAGGUUUUGAGCGAUUAUUGAAGAGAAUAGACCAGCACAAUCGAUAUUUGAAAAAAAAUCUAGUUUUUAACUGUUUCCAAGGAAAAAAAAAGAAUUACUUUUCCCAAAACUGAGUAUUUUGGAUGUUUCAAGCUUUAUUGCGUCUAGAAAGGUAUUUUCGUAAUCUUAAGACAGGCCUUUUGUCCCAAGGGAGUUCAGUCAACCAUUAAUGUUUUGCAAACAAUAUCGGGAUGAGGGCCAGCAUGUGAUUCCACCAAAUUCAAUCGGUCUAACCAUUCAUAACCAAUUAGUUUAAAUGAGAAGAUUGUAGUAAGAAAAAUUAGCAAUAUAUAUGUACUGAUGAUUUUGAAAAAGUCUGAGGGAAUUUCACAUGUAAUAUUUCGUACGCCUUAUGAGUAAUAAUCAAAUGUAUAUUAUUAUUUGUCCGAUCAAUUGUAAUAGACUGAAGAAUAGAGGUCGUGCUUACCUCGAGGAGCUCACUGUGAUAGGUUUCGGUGUUUGAGAAGAAGUCGCCUCGAAGCAGAUCGAGUUGUGUCUGAGUCCCGAAAGGCAGCGCAAUUCCAAGGAUCACCUACACGCCUCGACCUGGACCAGCUUGGUUUGGAGAUACGCCGAGGUAAAUUUGUAGAUCAUCUCAGGUUCAGAACAUCACGAGAAAGGACGAGUAGUGGCUACAAAAUCACCAACAGUAGGCAAGGAACUUACUAUCUCUCGAUUAAAUCGCAGCUCUUCUCUGGUAUAUCUGGAGAUCCCAGAAACAACCCUCGUGUUCCGAGCGAAGACCGCGCCACCAAACCCAGGAACCCUAAUCGCGUCAGCGGAGUCCACAAUCAGAAAUUAUAGCAAGCGGAACACUAAAAAGUUGGAAACUCGACACGAUUCGAGUCGAUUUUACCUGUUAAUCGGUGCCCGCCGAAUACCCAGUGUUGACACCUAGAUUUUGACGGUCCGUUUAGUCAUUUAUCGCAUUAAAAUUAGGGUUUAAUCAAUAAUUAAUUAAUUGCAUAGCAUUUAGUUGUAGGUGCAUUUAUUUUUUAUUUGCAUUUACUGGACCGGUUGUGGAUGGGUUGAAUCGGUGUUUUUGAAUUUUAAAUUAAUAGGCCGGGCUAGGCCCAUGAAAGGAUAAAAUUAACCUAAGCCCGUCGUUGUUGUUUAAUUGAUUAUCUUGUGAAAAUUUAAGAUUUGAUGCGAUAUUAUGAUGAUUUUUGGAAAUUUAAAAAUCGCACUCUAAUCUUAAAGUUGGGAAUAUUAAGGAGGAUAAGGAAUAUUCUAAAAUAUUUUGGUGCGGAUGGAUAUCUCGAAAGAUUUUAGAAUUGGAUAAUGGAGUUUUAUCUAAAGUGAAUUAUUUGGAAAAUCUUCACAAAAAAAAUUCCAGUUUAUCUUCAAUCGCUGAGUCAGCAUAUAAAAUCUUCAAUGGUCGAGCGAGUCAGCUUGGAAGAUUUUAAUAGAUGAUUUCAAUGGCCGAGUGAGUCAGUAUACACGAUAAUCUCGAAAGAUGAUCUUCAGCAAUUGAGUUGUUAUGCAAAUCUUCGUAGGUUGAGCAGACUAAGUUUUCACUCUAUAAAUGGGGGUGGCCUUCUCUUCGUCCGGGGGAGCUUCUUUUAAAAAAAUUCAGAAAAAGUGAAAGGGGAGAGAAGCCAUCCGUGGAGGUUAAAAGGAAAGAAGAGAAAAAAGCAAAAAGCUUCUGCAGAAAAGCGAAGGAAGAGGGAGAGUGACGUGAGAGAGAGAGAGAGAGCGAGAAGAGAAAAGUAAAGGGGUGAUUUGACCCCUACUGUUCAUCAUCUUCCCCAAAUCGCUGCUCCUCCUCUGCAACUUCCAUCCGCGAGGCUUCCGCCACCGUGUGUUCGCCACAGCCGCUUCAGCGGUCUCCCCACGAAGCUCGCCGCGACGACGCCGCGCCGCCUGGAGCUCGAAGCCAGUCCCGUCCGACACCUGGAUCUUCCUCCGCACGAGCCCCGACGACUCCCGCCGUUCGCCUCUGCCGUCUCCCCUGCAGCGCCUCCACCCGCGACGCGUCUGUUCCGACGCCGCGCCCACACCACGACAACGCUGCUGUAACCACCGACCGCUGCACCCGCACCGCGAUCUCGCCUGUCGCCGGAGCUCUCCGAAGCCCACGACCUGCAACUUGCGCCCGGCAGCACAGUGGUCUGCCUCCACUCAGCCUACGCCACCAUACCAGCACCUCUGCCCAGUCGCCGUUGUUGCUCUGAUUUGCUGACCCACGACGCCGAAACUAAACGCCGAGCCACUACGCACCCGUGGGACAACAUCGCUGCGACCCGCAACCCCGCUGUUCGCCGGUCACUGACGCCGCCCUGCCGUGUCGAUCCGCAACGACCUGCCGCUCAAGCGACGAGCUGCUACCCCUGGAUCCGAAUCUGCUGCUGUCCUCGGUGCACCAUCAGCUACUGCCCGAGAGAUCAGCCGUUUUGUUGCAGGUUUACUUUCACCGGAGCCAUCAUCGUGCAACCACCGUCGCCGCGGAUACCCUUCGCCGGAGCUCCUUGUCGGCAUUUUUCCCCGUAGCCGAAGCCUCCUGCUCCGUCGCACUCCGCCUGCAAUCGGUGACCCGACGCCACGGAUCCAGUGACCUGACGACCCGGGGUUGCUCUCCGUCCCGCUCGUGACCGACGCCAGGAGAUCCGAACCCCCUGCUCCGCGCACCAGCACUCGCGAGCAUCGUUGUGCAGCAACCUGCGACCCGCAACGCCCGCGAGCCCUCUCGCUGCUCGACCCGACGCCCGUGCCUGCACCUCCCGCGCCACCUUGCCGUCACUGACCUGCAGUACCCGACGCCGGCCACCGUCCGUCCGGCGCCCAUCAACGCUGCAGCAAGCCCCUCUUUCUUUAGGUGGUUUAGCUUUUUCUUUUAUUUAUUUUGUUCUAUUUUACCUCAUUUUUACUUUAUCUAUUUAAGUUGUAAUAUUUGAUGUUAAUAUUUGUGAAUUUAGUAUGCAUUAUCCGCAGGGAUUUUUGUUUGGAAUUAUUAUAAUUAUUAAUUUGAUCCAAGAGACAUUGGAUCAUUUUUUUAAUUAUUUUAAUUGUUGGGCUUUCUUAGUGAAAUUUUAAUUGUUAAAUCACAAUAAUUAUUUAAUUUGGUCCGUAAGACUUCGGAUCAGAUUUAUAAUUAUUUUGAUCUCUCUGCUGUGAUAACUAGGGUUAGAAUAACCGUUAAUUUGACCUGUGAGACAACAGGUUAUCUUUUCGAUUAUUUUAAUCAUUUCUUGCUUGAUUUUGUUGAUAGUUUAGAUUUAAUAAUUAUUUAUCUCUUAAAAAAAACUAAAGAAAUCAUAAGAUAAAAAAAAAAAUCAAAAUUCUGCAUGAGUAUAUAGGUUUAGUAAAUCAAGCAUGUAGGUUUAACAAAUUAGGAUUUUCUUAGGAUUGCAUUUUUAAGAUUGCAUUUUUAGGAAUAAGUUAGGGUUGAACCUAAAUAUUUUUUAGGGUUUUAGAUAAUGUUCGCAUAUUCUAAUUAUCUCAUUUUCCCAAAAAAAAUAGCUUUCUAAGAUAGGAUAGGGUUUAAGUCAAACUAAUCCCUAGAAUAAAUUAGAAAGUUAUCAUUUUUAGAUAGAUUAAUUAAGGUUUUCAUGAAUUCUGAAUUUCAAUAUAAAAAAUGCAAAAAUACUAGGUGCAUGUUAACUAGUUUGCAUAAUAGGAUUAUUUAAUCAAAACUUGUUAAUUAGUGAAGUUAGGUCAUGAGGUGCAUAAUAAUUAGUUUGCAUAAUAGGCCCAUUUAAUUAAAUUUUGCAUAUUAAUAAGAUUAAGUCAUUUGGUUUAAAAAUGCAUUUUCAUAAAAUCAUUCUAAUUUUUAAGAAAACCUAAAGAAAAAAAAUGAUUGCUUGCUUUGUGUGAUGCAAUUUAUUUAUUUGAUUGCUUUAAUAAUGGAUGAGCACCCGUGUGGUCACCACAUUUGGAUGAUAGUAAUUUAGGUUAAAAUAAAUCAGCUGCUUGCAAAAACAUUUUGAAAAAUUAAAAAGAAAUGGUACCGAAAGGGCAUUAGAAAAUUCUAAUGUAACCAAGUCCCCGUACCCUUAGUCUUUGGUUCGUAGGAGUAAAAUAAAUCUCCAUUUAUUUUACUUAGGUGUCUAAUCGACCUACCAUAAACCGAUUAGUGGCGACUCCUAGAUAAUCAUCUUUUGCAUGUUAAAAAAAAUUAAACCUAAGUCGCGAUUUGGUAUGGGCUUGGGAGAGCCCGAGCUAAGUGUAAAAGCUUAGCAGUCCAUUAACCUAGUUUUAGGUGGUUCACACCCGCGAAAAUCUGGUCGCGACACCCAGUCCCUCAAGAGAACUAUCAACGGGGUCCCUUGAAGACGGUGGUUCGGAAGGAGCGAUUGCAGGUGCUCUUCGUGACGGCCUCAGGCGUACUGCUCGAUGGAUUCGCGAGAAAGAAGAUUCCUUGCUUCGUCCACCGAUUCAAGCUGAAGCUCUCGCUCUGUUAGAGGAUUCGAUGUGCUUCAGAUCUAGAAGUAGAGGGAACUUGUACUCGGGAGUCGGACAACGCGGUUCUGUGUUGACUCUCUCUGCGAAAGCAUAAUCAC
rnacentral:lncRNA from 1 species